rnacentral:lncRNA from 1 species
AAGAAGGAAGCUUUGGCAGCAACAGGAGCUCCUUACAGCCCCUUAGGUCAAGGCUUUGGAGAGAAGAAGGAAGCUUUGGCAGCGACCGGAGCUCCUUACAGCCCCUUAGGUCAAGGCUUUGGAGAGAAGAAGGAAGCUCUGGCAGCGAUCGGAGCUCCUUACAGUCCCAUAGGUCAAGGCUUUGGAGAGAAGAAGGAAGCUCUGGCAGUGACCGGAGCUCCUUACAGUCCCAUAGGUCAAGGCUUUGGAGAGAAGAAGGAAGCUCUGGCAACGACCGGAGCUCCUUACAGCCCCUUAGGUCAAGGCUUUGGAGAGAAGAAAGAAGCUCUGGCAGCGACCGGAGCUCCUUACACUCCCAUAGGUCAAGGCUUUGGAGAGAAGAAGGAAGCUCUUGCAGCAACCGGAGCUCCUUACAGCCCCUUAGGUCAAGGCUUUGGAGAGAAGAAGGAAGCUCUGGCAGCGACCGGAGCUCCUUACAGCCCCUUAGGUCAAGGCUUUGGAGAGAAUAAGGAAGCUCUGGCAGCAAUCGGAGCUCCUUACAGUCCCAUAGGUCAAGGCUUUGGAGAGAAGAAAGAUUCCGGACACUUUUUGGCAGGUCAGAUAUCCGUGUGCAACCGAUAUCGAGACCCUUGAGGGAAGGCAAGUCACCGACUUCACUUGGAAUUGCCCCUUUCAGACUACUGCAACCUAAGAGACAUAGAAACUGCAGAUUUUUCAACCCUCCAAUAGCACUGGGAAGCUUUUCGAUCACAGUUUCUUGCAAGUGAAGGUCUUGCAAAUUCUGUAAAUCCCCAAUUGAGCUGGGGAUUUCUCUCAGUGACUUACAUUUGUAGGCACUCAGUGUCUUCAAUUUACUCAAAGAACCAAUAGACGAAGGAAUUGCUGUAAUACCAGAUUCAUGUAAAAGAAGUUCUUCUAAAUCUUUUAAUCCACCCACCUCCUCUGGUAGCUCCUUGAGAUCUAUACAGCAACUCAAGUCCAAGGUAACGAGGCUUGUGAGUUCGCCAAUAGAAGGGUGGAGAUGCUCCAAUCCAUAACAAUGGCUCAAUAGGAGAAUUUUCAACUGCGUGAAAGUUGAGAGUUCAGGAGUACAUCUUAAAUUAUGACAACCUUGAAUGGCAAGAACUUUAAGCUGCUUUGAUGCCUAAUAAAAAAGGAGAAUAAUCCGUCAAAUGAGUUGAUUGGCUAAACAAAAAACAAACCUCAAGAUCGCAGAGAGGAUGUAUUCUUUUCCCAAUCUUACCAUAAAUGAAUUCCAUCCUUCCCAAUCCUCUGUGAUUCUUACCCAAUUCUCUUCACUCUCCCACCAUAAGUCUAGCACCGAUAAUUUUGGCAAAUGCAAGUUGAUUGUCGAAAGAGACGCAUCGUUUCCAGGAUUGAUCCACUCAAACCAUCUCACUUCAAAAAACUUGGAAUCUCCACUAGAAGCUGCCCCAAAAAGUUGUGGAACCAGGGGCGUCUCUGCAAGUUUUUUCACUUUUUAGUUUUUGCUUUUUUUAAAUCUUGAAUUUGCACAAUUACCUUUUUAUCCUUCCCCUAUACAUGUAUGGAUAUGUAAACUCACAUUUUUUUAAAAAAAAAAAUUUAUGACCUUUUGAAAGUUAAACAAAUGACGCAAAGAUAACGAAAAAAAUAAUUAUUGCUUUAAAACAACUGAGGCAAAUGCACCUCAAUGUUUUAUCUCUUGCUUCUUCUUAUUUUUCAAAAUUUUGCAGCGCAUGGAUUUUCACUUUCAUUUAAGAAGAAAUACAUAAAACCAGUUUACAACGUACAAAUGUUUACUUGUAAAUUUUUAAAUGACUUAUGUAUAAUUUUUUAAAAGAAUUUGCUAAAGAGUGUCGACGGGCCACCUGUAAUUAGCUAAGGAAGCACCCUAUUUUCAUUUCAUUAGUUAAAUGUAAUAAUGUGGAAGAGAAAAGAAAAGGGGAAUUUUUAAUAUAUUCAGAUAUAUAGAAAAGUUUAUGUGGAGGGAAAUUAAAAGAAAUCAAAUAUGAUAUGCAUUAUCAAAAUAGAUAUAGAAAAUUAAAAGAAAUAUCCUUAUCUCUAGAAGGUAUCUAAAUAUCUUUAACGUCAUUAACUAUUUGCGUGGAGUGUUUACUCAUUUCUUUGACAAUCGAAACGUUUGUUUUUUUUUUUUUUGGGUAAAACUUUUUUUAAAAAGUGACGUGGUGACAUUGGUUAGCAGUUUUGACCAGGAUUGAAAAAAAAAAUAAUAAUAAGUCGCUUUUAGAAUAACUAGAAAAUGAACCAAUUAACUAAAAAGUGCCGUGGUAACAUUGUUUAAUCAUCACAUGUCGGUUCCAUAAGAAUGGCAUCGUUUCUUUUUCCAUCUUAUAAAUCAAAAAACAUACUGUUUAACUCCCUGCUAAAACAGAUCAUUUAAUUCCCUUAUGGCUUUAUUUGACUUUUAUAAUAAUACCUUUAUUUUCCCCCCAAAAGUUUAAUUGGCUAGAAAUUCACUUUUAUGGUUAGACACAUUUGUCGUUAUAUCUGCUUUAAAUAUUAACCAGUGAAAUGCAAUGGGUAUAAAUUCUCUUAAGUCUGUUUGUCUGAAAAGUAGCUAAAUUGUUGUAAUCAUAUCCCACACUAUCUUUAAUAAUUUUCGCUUGUAUAUCGAUCUAUACUAUGUAUUACAUAAAUAUAUAUAUAUAUAUAUAUAUAUAUAUAUAUAUGUACUGUAUGGAAAGGAGAUUUCAAUCCUCAAACUUUCAUCAAAAGUUUCCACACAAUUCGCAUAUAUCUCACCAAAAUGAACUAAAGAAAUAGGAUAUAACAAAAUAGGCAUAAUCAUAUUUGAAAUAGUCAAGACAAUUGGAAAUUAGUCCCACAAGCAAUUCAAUUUCCAAAAUUAAAUCAAAAUCUCUCAAAUCGUACAAUCAUUUCAUUUUUCUUCGACACUAUUUAUCAUCUUUCAGCAUUUUUGUCCAUUCAAAACAGAAUUGACCUUUCUUUUUCAUUGUUCCAAACACCUGUAUGGUGUGGUUUUUUUUGCUAAUGCUAAGAAGUUAUUGGAUCAACAAAAGAGUGUGAUAUUAAAUCAUAGGAACGAACUAUUUGAAAUUAUAUCAAGAAUAUAAGGCUGCUUUGUUUGCCCAACAUCCCUUGGUCAAUUUCUAGGGUUAAUUCCUUGCCGUUGAUCAGCCAUGAAACUGUAAAGCUUUUCAAAUGGACAAUAUAUAAUAAAAUGACAUGAACAUUGACAAUUUAAGUUAAAGAUAAAACAUAGUUGAAACAAUUUGCUUCAUGCUGAAAAUCAUAUAUAAUGAAUACAAGGUUAUGGAUAUAAUAGUAAGCAUGACAUUUCCUCCGAUUAGUCAAGUUUUCAUUUUUUAUCUUCAAAAUAGUCAAGUUAGUCUAGCNNNNNNNNNNNNNNNNNNNNNNNNNNNNNNNNNNNNNNNNNNNNNNNNNNNNNNNNNNNNNNNNNNNNNNNNNNNNNNNNNNNNNNNNNNNNNNNNNNNNNNNNNNNNNNNNNNNNNNNNNNNNNNNNNNNNNNNNNNNNNNNNNNNNNNNNNNNNNNNNNNNNNNNNNNNNNNNNNNNNNNNNNNNNNNNNNNNNNNNNNNNNNNNNNNNNNNNNNNNNNNNNNNNNNNNNNNNNNNNNNNNNNNNNNNNNNNNNNNNNNNNNNNNNNNNNNNNNNNNNNNNNNNNNNNNNNNNNNNNNNNNNNNNNNNNNNNNNNNNNNNNNNNNNNNNNNNNNNNNNNNNNNNNNNNNNNNNNNNNNNCAUCUUAUUGCUUUGGGUUAUUUAUCGGUUAUUAUACUAUCUCCUUCUUUUUUUUCUUAACCAGGAAAUCUUCAUUUAUUUGAUCUAUGAUGUUUAUUCUUCGUCUUCAUUCAUAAUUAUAGUCCUUCUAAUUAUCAAUAUUUUCAAGACAAUUGCAUGCUUUAAGUAAAUGAGAUUUCUAGUCUAAAAUUGUAGUUAAAGGAUUUUGAAUUGAUUGCCAAACAAAUUUUUACAUAUGUAAUUUACAUCGAUGAAAUUGAAUCAAUGAUAUAACUUUUUCAUCCUUGAGAUACUUAUGAUUUAUUUAGUGUCACAAUUAAUCUACGAUGUACAUAAAUGGAUGUUUAAAUAGAUUUUUUUUCCUAGAAAGUAAGAGCAUCUUUUCAUGCUCAAUGAUUUAGUAGAAUAGAUCGGAUUAAGAGGGAGAGAAAAAAAAAAAAGAAUGCCAUAUUUUACCUCUGGAUGUCUUACUACUCUUGGGACUCCCUCAUAGUCAUCAUCCCAUGGUCCAUUACAUUUCUCAAGCAGUUGUCCUCGGCAAAAAAUGCUCCAAGAUCUCUUAGUUGAUCAUGCACCAUAAAUUCACCAUGAUCUCCAAUUUUAAUUAAGCACCUCAACUUCAACUCUUCAAUUCCUUGAUUUGGAGAAAACCCAAGGUCCUCCCACAUGUAUAUGGCAAAUCGUGCAAAUUGGCCAUCGCCAUGUACGCCAAUAAAGAAACAAACAAUAUCGAGAAAAAUCUGCUUAUGUUCAUCUUCUAAUGCAUCAUAACUUAUUUGCAAUAUUUUUUGGACAUCUCUAUGUGGUUGGCUUUUUAAUUGUUUCCGCACAUCUUCCCAUACUUUUCGAUUCGGUUUUUUAUACAAGUAUGAACCUACGACCUUAAGUGCCAAGGGAAGCCCACCCAUGGUGGAUACAAUAUCACGAGAUAGACCCUCAAAGUCCUUCGAAGAAUGGUCCAUGUAAAAUGCAUGUCUAUUAAACAAAAGCAAAGCAUGCUCCCAAUCCAAUUCAUUCAAAUCAUACUUGUGUACAUUGAAUUUAGAUUGAUCGAGAAUGGCUUCAUAUCUGGUUGUAACAAUAAUAAUACUUCCUGCCAUAAACCAAUUACGCUCUCUAGCCAAAGCAUUUAAUUGAUCCUCAUGAUCUAUAUCAUCCAGAAGAAUGAGAACAUUUUUUCCUUUGAAUCUAGAUUUGAUCAAACUAAUUCCACCAUCAACAUUCCCAAUUUGAGAUUCGAUUUGUAGAAUGUCCAUAAUUAGUUGCUUUUGUAAAUGAACAAUAUUGUUGCGGCAAGUUGUUUCUCGAAUAUCUACAAGGAAGCUAUGAUGCACAAAGUCAUUCGACAGCUGAUUAUAGAUUACCUUGGCAAGAGUCGUUUUUCCAAUCCCACCCAUGCCAUAGAUUCCAAUCAUUCGAGCAUUAGUGGCAGGAGUGUCUACCCAUUUCAUGAUUCUGUUCACAUGAUCAUCAAUUCCAACUAAGUGCUCAGUAACAUCAAGCUGAAAAUCUUGUUGCAACUUGCUCAGAACAUUUUCGAUAACUUUUUUAACUAAUUCUCCUUCAUGCCUGUCCAGCAAAAAAAACCUCAUUGAUAAUUUCGUGAUUAUACUUAAUCUCAUCAAAAGGCACCGACAGACGUGAAGAAUAGAUGGGACCAAUUAACAUGCAAGAUGUUUUGGUUUUACAAAUAACAAUGGAGGAUGAUGGCCAGCGGUCAUUUCAUUUUUUCUUCUCUCUUCUGCUAGAUGGAUCUUGUUGAAAGAAAAUAAGGCAGUGCACCUGGCUCGUUAAGAGUCUUUAGAAGCGUAAUGUUUGUUACAAGGCUUAAGAUUGCUGCUAGUUAAAUGAUAGGAGGUCAAUUUUGUUUCAAUUAAAGAAGUUUAGGAGAAAAGUAUGUUACUCCACUCUAAGGCCAGGGCAUCUCACAUACCAAAAUUGAGGACUUAUAGUCGAUUUACAAAUCGCUACCGAUGGGGUCCACUGACAAUGGAAAUCAAACCUAGACAUGGUAAAUGUGAAGUGUCCAGUCCUUUCCACCUGAGCCAACUUCCAUUCGCAUUAGGAGGUCUAUUUUAUCUGGUGGUGAUAAAGCUUUGAAAUACUGAGCAUUCGAGUCCUUUCUAAGCUUAUUGUUUGGUGAUUGACACUAUUGGCCGGAGGGGUUGUCAUUUCUUUGAUUUUUGCUUUGUUGGAGACAACUGUAAUUCAUCUGUUUCGAAUGAACAAGAAAAUUUACAGGAUAAUUACUAAAAAAAAUUAAAUUUAUUAUAAUUAUGUUAAAUCAAUCUUUAAUUUUUUUUAUAACCAAUUUAGUCCUACACAUUUUGAAAAUAUGCUAAUGUAGUCCAUCUAGUUAACUUUGGCUAGAAAUCUCUAACAUGGACACAAGUCGUUCUAUGAGAUACCGUCGAUAUUGACGUAGAGUAUUUUUAUAAUUUUUUUUAUAUUUUUUUCUGAACUUUGUUGAAUUUGCUUAUAUUUUUUGUUUUUUUCUUUCUUUCUUUCUUUUUUCCUUCUUCUUCUACGGUCAGUGGCCAUAGAUGAGGGCUGCCUCGCCAUGAGGGCUGACCUCGCCAGAAUCUGGUCCUUCUAGUGGGUCCUAUAGAGAAUCGCAAGGAGGGAGAGACCGAGAGUUUUCCCAACAAGAGAGGGCCGUCGUUGGGUCAGAUGAGGAGGUUCGCUAGCAGCCAGAACGUGCUGGCAAACUUCGACUGGACGGCGCAGGUGGCGCCGAUGGAUGCAGCGGAGCAGAGGAACUGUUACUUUGACGACAAAGACAGAGACAAAGAAGAGCGAGAUGACGACGACGGCGACGAAGUGGGGAUUCCAUUUUCGUCCCCCAUUUUUGGUAGGUGGAGUGGAGUCGAAGGCGAAGAAGGAAGUGAAUCUGCGGAAGAAAAGGACAAUGGCUCCCCCUCAACCACUUCGCUUGCGACAUCCCCAUUAAUUCUGCAAAUAUAAUCGUGUUCUCGAAUGAUUGCGUUCCUGGAUUCCCGAUUUCUGAUGUUCUUCCUUCUUUUUUUAGGGUUAUUAGUUUGUGUUGGCCUGACCUCUUUAGAAGGACCAGAUUCCGGCAAGGUUGGCCCUUGACAGGGAGGGCGAGCCUCACCAACCCUAGUAUGUGGCCUGUUGCCGGCCAUCAAGGAGGCCAGCAGCUGGAGAGAAAGAAGGGAUUUCUAGCUAAAAUCAGCCGGAAGAACUAUAUUGGUAGAUUUUCAAAAGAUUUAUGAUUAAAAUGGCUAAAUAAAAAGUCUAGAACUAAAUUUUUACUGUUAUAAUAGGUUUAAUAUGUUUUUUUUUUUUUUGGUAAUUUCCCCAAAAACUUACUUAUAGAAAAGAGAAGUUUAGGUAGAAGCUAAGUACCCGUCAGCAACUUUCCGAGACUCCCAUCCCUGUAAAUGACUCACUUUUUCGAGUGCUUCCUGCACUUUCUGGAUGUCCUCCUCACCAAAAUACUUCUUACAUGUACGAAAGGCCUUCCUACCAAAGUUUCCUCUUUUUAGAUGCCCCACAUCCGAUGGGUCCACUUUAUAAAAGAUGGGCAAAACUGUGUGUGAUGGGCUCUUCGCACGAUCCAUGAUAUGAAUAAGCUCGCGGAGGCACCAUUUGCUUGAAGCAUAAUUUUCGGAGAUGAUGAGAAUCGAAAUUUUAGACCGAGCAAUGGCAUUGAGAAUUUCUGGACCAAAUUCCUCGCCAAUUUGGAUGCUCUUAUCAUCCUUGAACACAAAAACUGGUGUAAUCCCUACCUUGACUAGACUGUGAUAGAGGUGAUCAGUGAAUCCCUUGCGGGUAUCUGACCCUCUAAAGCUCAAGAACACAUCAUAAUGAUCAUUACAUAUUCCUUCACGUAUUCCUUUGAGUGUUGGAGAGAUUUUCGAAGGUGCGGAUGCUCUCUUCUUCUUGACAAGAUAGAAUGCAAGCAUACUAAAAAGAAUCGUCGCGGCAAGCACUGCGGGCAUUAUUAAAGGGUGCAUCCCUUCGUUUGUUUCAGUGUAACUCCGCCCUUUGUCGAUGGCAAUCUGAGAGGGAAAGUUGGAGAGAAAGAUGCUCUCCUGCUGCAUAAAAAGGAUUGAUAAUUAGUCUCUAUGAAGUAUGAACAAGUAUGAACAUGAAAUCUUUUACCAAGCAAGAAAAGAUAAACAUGAAAUUAUUAAUUAAUUAUUAUUUGAUUGACUAGGAGCAGUCGCUGAUGCUUUCAAUCCUUGCUUUAUCUUCUUUUGGAUAUCAUCCUCUAGUCAAGUCAAUCUUGCCGGGUUCGGUCCCCUUACGUAUAACGCGUACAUUAAUUUCUUAAUUGGGCUAUAGAAUAAUGGAAUCUAUGUACAAGCAUAUUGCAUUCGUUCAAAAUUAUAUGUAGUGGUUCAGUUUUUAUUUGAUUAUUGAAAAUAAGAUUUUGAUAAAUCAUUUUUUGUCAAAGAAUUUGAUAAAUCAUUUAAAAGCUGAUAAUUGAGCUGAGACAAAAUUGGAAAUGUGGGGAAGGCGUGAAGAAAGGACCUAGCUAGUAAUUAUGAAUGUGAUUUUAAAUUUAAUUUGGCCAUAGAUUUCUCCUCCUGCACAGCACAAAGCCUUCCUUCUCCUUGUAAAAUAGAGAUAUAAUUUGUUAGACGGUACCAAACGGAGAAGCGGAUGCUCCCUCAGUGAUCUCUUUUUAUGCACUCUUUUUUUUCUUCAUGUUAGUCUGAACAAUUAGAAAUUAGGUACUUAUUCAAUGGAAGAAAAAGAAGAUAAAAAAAAGGUCUCCGGAUUCAAGCGAAAUAUGACAAUUAAUAGAGUCUGGCGUGCUUGCAAACCUACUCGUUCUAGUUCAAAAAGAGAUCAGUACUGAAUUACGAUACAACUAACAACAUGUAAUAAGGUCAUCAUAGGAUUAUUUACAUCUAAAGUCGAAAAUACCGAAGUCGUUAACAGGCAACAACAAUUCCAAAAGAGAGAAUAAAAGACACCCUCCUCAGCUAUUCCGCAGCCACCCCACAUCCCCAGUAGACAAAAAGGGCCCAGAAGACACUAGUUCAGACUAUUAUUUCAAUAAUAAAGCGAUGAAUCAAUAGAAACGACACGGUAGUAAGAGAUGAAAAAGUGAUUACCUUCCGCGAGCUAAGAUACGAAGAGAGGCGCGAGAAACAGCACGGUAGUAAGAGAUGGAAAAAGUGAUUACCUUCCGCGAGCUAAGAUAUGAAGAGAGGCGCGAGAUCGGUGAGAGAAGACCCUAAGCAAGCCUGGGCAGGAACUUUCAAAGGGGGAAAAAGAACAAAGAAAGCGAGUGAGGACUGACCAGUGGACGACAGUCUCAAAUUGUUCUGCGAGAGAGAGGCCGAAUGCGAAAGAUAAAGUGAGCAAUGAGAGAGAGAGAGAGAGAGAGAGAGCGGGGGGAUCAAUCAAUAGUAGACGACAGUCUUGAAUUAUUAUUGACCAAUCGGUAGACGAUAGGUUGAUUGACUGGCAGCAAUAAAAAUUCUUUUCAGAUGGCAAGCAAAGUCAAGCCACACAAUUUGGACCAGAGUACAGAAUGACCACUUCCAUUCAUAUCCACUUAAAAACCAUUUUGUUAAACAGAUAAAUGUGGCUCUAACUAGCUUAUAAAUCUUCCAUUAUAUUAUUAUCAAAGGCAUUCUUACUCCUGUAGGUGCUGCAUUUUCCUCCCACCAUAAAGAUGCAUAAAUCAUAUUGUCAAAUCCAUUGUAAGCCAAUAAUUUUCUACGCUAAAUAUACGUAAAAGUCAUGUCUUUACUGUAAGCAAUAAAAUCGCAUGAAAAGCACAUUUUAGGACAAGUUUCUCUAAUUCAAUCCACAAAGAUAAAGUCCACCUAAAAAUUGUCUACAUAAUAAAUUCGUGCGAGUGCAUUGAAACCAGCAGCUUUGCUCACUUUCAAGUUUUCCAUUGUAACCAGUACCAAAAAGAGAAAAAAAAAAAAAAAAAGGUACAAUGGUGAAUUUUUCAUAAUUGGAAAACAUUUGAAUUUUCUAUCAUUCUUCCAAAAAUAUGAAAAUCGCCAAUAUAAUGGGAAAUGGUUUUGUGUACAACCAGAAAUUAUCUAGCUGAUCUGAUAUGUUUAGAUAAAUUUUUGUUGUUGACAAUUUUGAUCGGUAACCUAUGAAAGGUUUUGUGCAUUAUUGAAGAGAAAAGACUAGCAUGAUCAAUAUUUGGAAAAAUAUCUUUAACAGUUUUCAAGAAACAAAGAAUUAUUUUUGCAAAAACCGAGUAUUUUGGAUGUUUUAGGCUUUAAGUAAUUUUGAACAAGUAGGGUAUGCAUAGGGCUAAUGGACCCAAAAUCGCGUCUAGAAGGAUAUUUUGGUAAUUUUCAUUCCCAAGGGAGUUCAAUCAACCAUUAAUGUUUAGAAAACAACACCAGGAUAAAGGCUGGCAUGCGAUUCCACUAGAUUCAAUCAGUCUUACCAUACAUAACCAAUUAGUUUAAUGGGAAGAUUGUAGUAAGGAAACUAGCAAUAUAUAUGUAAUGAUGAUUUUGGAAAAGGCGAGGGAACUUCACGAGUAAUGUUUCGUAUGCCUUAAAGGAUAUCGGGUGUUAUGCAAUGAGUAAUAAUCAAAUGUAUUUUUGUCCUAUCAAUUGUAAUAGACUAGAGAAUGAAAGUCGGGCUUACCUGGAGGAGUGAUGCAGAGAUGAAAUUCUUGUAAUGGGUUUUAGUGUUUGAGAAGAAGUUGCCUUGGACAGAUCAAGUUGUGUUUGAGUCCCGGAAGACAGUACAAUUUGAGGAUCACCUUCACGCCUCAACUUGGAGCUAUCAAUACAAAUAUAUCUCAGAAAAAAAUGAGGAUCUCAAUGAUUUAUGGUGAUUGGUGUUUCUCCUCUUCAAGCACAAGCAUUUGGGACUUUAUAUAAAGCUGUACUUCUCUUGCCCCAGAGGAGACGCGACAUCUUGUGGUGGAUGGCAUUUCUUAGAUGAGGCAACUGCACUUCUUUUGAUUCUAACCUUUUUGACCAAGACCACUAAAACAAUCCCUUCCUCGAAAUUGGCAAGACGACCCCUAUAGACUUCACUUAUUAAUUCUUUUUGUUAUUGGAUUCCACGGCCAAGCAAGUCACAGUGGAAAUUAAAUUUUUUGACACAAUGCUAGUCCUUAACAGUCACGGAAUCAUCUCCUUUUUUUGUCAAACGAAAUUAUCUCCUUUACUUGGGAACUUUUGCAAGGUGUUCGUAUUGAAAAUUACUUCUUCUCUUGUCUUGAAAAGUGAGCCCAAUGUGCUAGGGACACACACAAUCUUACCAUGGAUUUGCACGUCCUUGAUGAGAAAAUUUACUUUUUUUACUGACUAACGCUCGCCAUUUGUUAGUUCUCUUUGUAAUGGAAUCACAUGGCCGCACAAAUCAAAGUGAAGAUGGACAACAUUUUGCUUUCCCUUCCUAUUGAAAUAAAAGCCUCUCACUACUGGAGGCAUUGAAAUGGUCAAAAAUCUAUUUGUUAACUCAUAUUUAGUGACCUGACUCCUAUAUGGAUUGGCUAAAAUUGAAAGAGUAGGUUGUUAUGAAUUUAAAGUAACAAGAUUCAAUUCAAUAUAUAAUAUAUUUUAAUGAGUUUGAAUCAUGUCUAUAUGCAAUUCAUGUUAAAAAAAAAAGAAGAAUAGAAAAGUAAUGAUCUUUUCAUUUGCUUUCACAUGGCUCUUCUUAGGGGAACUCAUGCUCGAGUGUGGUAUGCCUCAACACGUGGAGCCCAUUGUAUGUGACACAACAAUUGCAUGAGAUUUUUCUUCACUUGCCCAUUGCUUUAAUCAAUGAUUGAGUGACCCGUCAUUCAUUCCCUAUUCAUUAUCGAUUGUUUAAUCUAGUGGGACUCAUGUAGAACUUAUAUGGCUCCGGUCAUUUUUAGUUUUCCAAAUGUAAUCUUUCCCACAUUAUCAUUUAGCUCCACAUCUAGACAACGACGUCAAUUAGGGCCAAUUCAGCCAAAUCUCCUAUGUACUCUUAAGGAUGUAAGGAAUUAGAUUGAUAUCGUGUGCUUAAUAUGACACACAAAAUUUUAUCUUAGGUAUUUAGGGAUCGAAGUUAUGGUGAAAAAUAAGGGAAUGAAGAAAGCUAGGAAAACUAUCAAAAAAGUCCUAAACCAAUUGCAUUUGUGUUAAUUCAGUCCUAAACCUCUAAAUUUGAUCAAUUUAGUGUUAAACCUUUUGAUAAUUUGUCAAUAUAGUCUAUCCGGCCAAUUUUGAUAGGUUUAGGUUGCUUUGGAUGGUGGUUUUGCUUGGUUAUUAGCCGCAUUGCAUCUUAAUGGGCACUUAAAUGUCAAAAAUACUCUUCAUCAGCUUAUCUCACCAUAUGAUACAACCGUCACAUGAAAUAUCUGUUAUUCUACCACAUCAUUUCUUCUCUCUCUCUCUCUCUCUCUCUCUCUCUCUCUCUCUCUCUCUCUCUCUCUCUCUCUCUCUCUCUCUCUCUCUGCCCCCACCACCGCGAAUUAAUGUCACCAUCCUAUAGUCACUUGCCCAAACAACACCAACCAUGCCCUCCACAACUUAGGCCCCAUCUCUCUCUCUCUCUCUCUCUCUCUCUCUCUCUCUGCCCCACCACCGCGAAUUAAUGUCACCAUCCUAUAGUCACUCACCCGAACUAGAGGCGUCUUGCUCAAAGCUACAACGACACUUGACUAGACCUAGCGUCGCAUUUGAGUAAUUUUGGCAUGCAUUGAGCUAGACGCAGCAUUGGAUCUCUACUAGAUCUAAUGUCGAGCCCAACACUGCAGUGGACCGUCAUUGAGGACUUAUAACUCUAGGAUAAAUAUGUUGUUGCAACAGUCAAGCGUGUCACCAAAUUGGGUCGAUGGGAUAUUUCUUUCACAUAGCAUGAUCAUGCCAGUAUAUGCAUUUUGCAAAAGAAAUCUUUAUCAUGAAAAAAAAAGGACGUUUUCAAAACUUCUAUAUCAAAUUUUCUAUGAAACCGAGUUAAUUACCUUUUAGAAAAUUGUCUAGCGAGGGAAAGCAAGUCAAAGUCUUCCACCAUCUCCCUUGCUCAAUUGCAAAGAAAGUGGUAAGGCAAAAGCUGACAAGACCUAAUCAACAUAAUUUUAUUUUUGGGGAGGGGGGGGGGGGGGGGGGGAGGACUGGCCAGAAAACCCAAAUUAAAAUCUUCCCACCUCUUUCUUGCCCGGGUGGAAAAAAAGUGAUAAGGCAAAUGCUGACAAGACCUAAAAGAAGAGAGUGAGGGUGAGGACGAGGGUGAGGGGGAGGGGGGGAGGACUAGCGAGGAAAACCAAGUCAAAGUAUUCCACCAUCGUGCUUGCUUUGCAAAGAGAGUGAUAAGACAAAAGCUUACAAGACCUAAAAGAAGAGGGGGAGGGGGGAAGGACCGGUGAGGAAAAGCAAGUCAAAGUCUUCCACCAACUUGCUUGCUUAGUUACAAAGAAAGCGAUGAGACAAAAGCUGACCAGACCUAAAAGGAAGGGGGGGGGGGAUGGACUAGUGAGGAAAAGCAAGUCAAAGUCUUCCAUCAUCUUGCUUCCUUAGUUACAAAGAAAGCGAUGAGGCAAAAGCUAACAAGACCUAAAAGAAGGGGGAAGGACUGGUGAGGAAGAGCAAAUCAAAGUCUUCCCCCAUCUUACUUGCUUAGUUGUAGAGAAAGUGAUAAGGCAAAAGCUAACAUGACCUAAAAGAAGAGAUAGAGGGAGAACUGGCAAAGAAAAGCAAAUCAAAGUCUUCCACCAUCUUGCUCACUCAAUUACAAAGAAAGUGGUAAGGCAAAAGCUGACAAGACCUACUCAAAAGAAGGAGGGGGUGGGCGAAGAAAGCAAAUCAAAGUCUUCCGCCAUCUUGCUUGCUAAACCAACAAGACCUACUCAAAAGAAAUGGGGGCAAAAAGAUUCUAGCAAUUGAAAGCAAGUCAAAGUCUUCCACCAUCUUGCUUGCUUAGUUACAUGGGGAGAACAAAGACCAUUAUUUAUGGUGAAAAUAUUGUCUAAAUUUAAUUUAUAAAUGAUGCAACGGGGCAAAUCAAUUAUGAUAUAAUAAUUGUACUGAAAUUUGUAUUUUGCGGCGAGGGCUUUGUAUAGGGUUUGCAUGGUUUCUCUUAGGUGUUUUAUUAAAAUCUAAAUGUCUGACAAUACUACAUAAAUAUGUUAUACAUCAAACUGUCCAAUUGACUCUAAACAACUUAUAUUUAUCUAAUAGCACAUGUGGUAAUAUUAUUGUUCUAUAAUUAUGCUCUUUUUUCCUUUAAAUUGACAAGAGUGAGCUAAUAUAGAUCAUGGUCCAUGAAUGUGAACUCACGAAUAUUUGAUACAUGUAAUCCUAAUGCUAGUCUGUCAUUGAGUGUUUGGCAAGAGUUGAAAUUGACAUGUGAAAGCUAUCUGUUACUUGAAUUACAUCAACAUAUCCAAAAGUAGCUACCUAAAUAAAGUUUGUCAAAUUUUCAUCAUUAUUUAAAUUCAUAAAAUCAUUUUUCCUCUGCCCUGCUUGCUUCACUUUUGCUGCUCAUGAGUUGUUUUGUUUUUGAGAUUUACAUUAGAUCCAACAUUUUUUUUUGGUCCGGAUACAAUUCAGCACAUAUAUAAGAUUAAAAAAAAAACAAUUGCUCCGUAUUAUGAGAAUGCUGUUAAAAGGAGUAACAUGUAAAAUAAGUAAGAUUUUUGCCUUCUGAUGAGGAACAUCCUUGUCGUUUUAGGGCUUAACAUGUUAACAGAUAAUGGACUGUUAAACUGAUCUGAAAAAUCCAUUGCUGGCUUUUAUUGGUCAUAAACCACAGGAAUCAAAGGUAUCUUGGUACUCUCUUAAGGGUCUUCUAGAGCAAUAGUUGGAUAAAUGGAAUAAGAUUGUAUCUUUGACUCUUCCCUCUUUCAUCAGUUGACUAAGAUGAGACAUCAGUGGCCCAAAAUGGAAAAGAACAAGAAGGAAUAACACACCCAUAAUCUUAGUACCACCAAAUAUUAAGACUUCGAAACGAGGUUAAAAAUCUUGGGUUCUAUUGCUCAAUAGACGGUAAAAAAACGCUUCAAGUGCCUUAACUUUGCACAAAAUGACACUUAAGUGCCAUAACUUACGAAAGGUGCACUUAAGUGCCUAAAUCGAAGUAAAAUGAAUCACUUGAGUGCCAAUCCAGCCAAAAUCCAGCCAAAACGCUAACGUGUCAAUUUUCCAGCAAAGCGAGUGCGAAACGGCGUCGUUUUAAUGCUGACGUGGCCAAAAAUUUAAUAUAAAAAUUAAUUUAAAUUAAUUUAAAACUAAAUUUAUUUAAAUAUUAAAAUUUUAAAAUUUUAAAAUUUUUUUAAAAAAUUAAAAUUUAAAAAAUUUAGAAAAUUUUGAAAGAUUUAGAAAAUUUUAAAAGAUUUAGAAAAUUUUAAAAAAUUAAAAAAAUUAUAAAAUUAUAAAAUUUAAAAGAAAUUUAAAAAUUUAAAAUUUAAAAAAAUUUAAAAAUUUUAGAAAUUUUUUUUUAGGAAAAGGAGGCGGGCCUAGCCAACCCUCCCCCACCUUCCGGCGAUAGCGGGGAGGCGGUAGCAUCGAGGGCUCUGCCCUCAGUCGUUGGCUGCCUUUUCUCCUCCUCCUCCUCCAUUUUUUUAAAAAUAAAUAUAAAUUAUAUUAUUGUUUUAUUUUAAAAUUUAAUUUAAUUAAUUUUCAUAUUAUAUUAAAAUUCAACUUAUACCAAAACGUUGUUUUGGCCAAUUUAAGUGCUCUAUUCUGGCCAACACCCGAAAUGAUGUUAUUUUGGUGCUGACAUGGUAAAAAAUUUUAAUAUAUAAAUUAAUUAAAUUAAAUUUAAAAAUUUUAAAAAUUAAAAAAUUUUGCAAAAUUAAAAAAAGUUACAAAAAUUUAAAAAAUAAAAUAAAAAGGGAAGCUGUUGAGGGCUGAAAAAUUUUGUAAAUUUUUUAAAUUUUUGUAAAUUUUUUGUAAAUUUUUUGUAAAUUUUGCAAAUUUUUUGUAAAUUUUAGAUUUUUUUAGCAAUUUUUUAAUUUUUUUUUUUGUAAAUUUUUUGUAAUUUUUUGUAAUUUUUUAAAGUUUCUAAAUUUUUAAAAUUUUUAAAAUUUUUUUAAAUAAAUUUAUUUUUAAAAAAAUUAUUUUAAAUUUAAUUUAAAUAAUUUUUAUAUUAUUAUAAAAUUCAAAUGAUACCAAAACGACGUCGUUUUGGCCGAAUUCGAGCUGACUCAGCUCUCCGGUGAGACACAUCAAUGAGAAAUAUUAAUAUUUUAAUGCCACGUAUGAUUUUCAAUCAGGAGAUGGCACUCAGGUGAUCCAUUUUUCUUAAAAUGUGACACUUAAGUGUCCCUUUUUGCCAAAUUAUGGCACUCCAGGGGUCCGCAUGUCCUCAAUAGACAAACGCAAAGGAUCGACGCAUGAAGAGAACAAAGAAUAUUGUUUACCUUCACCAGCCAAAAGAUUGCAAGGUCAACAGCAAAUGCAGGAAAGAAAUAGAAGAAAACCGUACAAAACCUUUUGUUACUUACAAACACAUACCAUCCUAGAAACAGUAUGCAUGCCAUCAAGGGGAAGAGCUGAAAGAUUGUCUUCAACACAAAAUAACUAUAGUCAUACCUCAUCUUUUUUAACAUGUAAAAACGACCAUUUCAUUCGGCAAAAUUUACCACCCUAGUCAUGAAGAGCAUGAUAUUCAAAAAGCACAUCACUCUCAAACGUACUUUUCAUGCACAUGGCAAGGUGCUUAUAUCAUAAAAAUUAUUGCUUAUAUCACUUAACGUAAUUAGCCAAUAAAAAAUGUUUUUAUUAUCGACAAAAAUUUAGGUCCAAACAUUUUCAUGAGUCAUAAAAGUAUCUUUUGUUCAUUUGUUAUUGUUAGCGAUUUUAGUGGAAAUGUUUGUCAAAUUCAUUUUCCACAAGACAAACACACCCGUAAUGUCAAAUAGCUUCAAUGUUUAAAACUAGGAGAGGGAAAUUUGAAACAGACGUUUUACUUUAGUUUUUGCAUGUGUGAAAAUGAGAAAACACCGUCUCUGUCUUCCGCGGUGUUGCUGGGUCAUUGGAUGUGGGAACCAAAGAAGAUUUGCGUAAAAAAUUGAAUGCAGUUCUAGCGGAUAGUUUUCAAUUUUCACCCAUACUACGACUUAACAGUGGAUUAAAUUACAAAAAAGGUAAUAAAAUCAUAGCAGCUUGACAUAUUUCAUUCCAUAUAUAUAAUUUGCAGCUUGCUUAAAUUAUAUUUAAAAGAAGGUAAUGAAGGAGGUGAUGUAUACUCAUAUUUAAAUCAAUCUCAGUUGGUUAUUUCUGUGGAAAGCAUAAAACUUCCAAAUCAUGAUCGUUAGCUAAUCAUAUUUCAUAGCGUGAGGCGAGGGAAAGCAAGUCAAAGUCAUCCUUCAUCUUGCUCGCUUCAUUGCAUUUCCCAAGUCCUCUCUUUUAACCAAAGAAAGGGACAUGACAAAUGCGGACGAAACCUACUCCAAAAAAUUAAUAAAUAAAUAAAAGACUAGUCAACGUUCAACUUUGGACUGAUUCUUGUUCUUCCCCUAAAUUUCCUCGAAAGUGUGUGAAUGUGAGGUAAUCAUGUAUACCUAUCUCUAGGGGACAUCAUAAUUACAAACACUUAGGUUAUGUUCACGGCGAGACAAGAGACGGUCUUUAUUGUGGAAAUGUUGCAUAGGAUUAAUUUAUAAGUGACACCAACGGACAGUGCUAAUCAUAAUUUGGAGCUUUUGGAUGAAAGUGUGGCUACUUGUGUUUUCUAGUAAGACUUGAUAUAGGGUUCUCAUAGUUUUUCAUAGAUAUUUUAAGAAAUUUUGAUGUUUGUUGUAAAUUUGAUAUGCACUGAACUUUUCAUUUUGUUUAUUAACUCCAAGUAACUCUUAUUUAUCUAUACAUUUGCUGCUCUAUAACUAUACUUUUUUCUUUUUCCCCUUGAAAUGAAAAGGAGUGACCUAACAUAAGUCAUGAUACAUGAAUGUGAACACAAGAAUAUGUGAUGCAUUCAAUUGCUAGCCUCAUGAAAGGUUUGAAGAGGGUCGACAUUGAUUUGUCAAGCUAUCGGUUGCUUGGAAUAUACAUCAAUAUCCUAAUAAAAUUCGUCAAAUUUUCAUCUUUGUCCUAAUUCAUAAUGUGCUUUCUUCUCUCAUGCUUGCUUUGCUCAUGGUGAGUUUAUUGAGUCCACGUUAGUCCAAUUAUUUUCAUUGAUCCAGGGAACAAGAGUAUGAGAAUGCUAUUAAAAGGAGUAACAUGAAAAACUAACAAGAUUUUUGCCUUUUGCCGAGGAUCAAACUUGUCAUUUUCCGGCCUAACAUAUAACGAACCGUUAGACUGAUUUGGAAAAUUCUGAUUUCAUCGGCUUUUAUUGGAUAGAAACUACAUAAACCAAAGGUAUGUCGGUGCUCUAUCACGUGUCUUCCGGAGCAAUACUAAGAUAAAUGGAGUACUAUUGGCUCUUUGACCCUUCCCUCUUUCAUCCAUUGACUGAGAUAAGACAUCAGUGGCCCAAAACACAAAAGAACAAAAAGGAAUAAAUUCAGUGACACCCGUACCAACAUAUAUAAGACUUCAAAAUGAGUUUAAAAAUCCUGGGUCCUGCUGCACAAUAAACAAAAGCAAAGGAUCAACACAUGAAGAAAACAGAUCCUUUACCUUCACCAGCCAAAAGAUUGCAAGGUCAGUAGCAAAUGCAGGAAAGAGAUCCAGAAGAAAACCAUAUGAAACCGUUUAUUACUUACAAGCAUAUACCAUCCUGGAAACUAUAUGCAUGCCAUUAGCGGGAAGAGCUGAAAGAUUGUCUUUAACACAAAUUAACUAUAGUCAUGCGUCAUCUUUUAACAUGUAAACACAAUGAUUUCAUUCGGCAAAAUUGGCCACCCAUGUCAUGAAGUGCGUGGUAUUCUCAAAUUGGAGAGUCGCAAGCUGACAAAGCCAUUUAAAGGAUCGCAGCCUUCAGCCACUAAUCAUAUGUGAAAGACAGCCAAAUGUCAUGUGAAUCAGCAACUACUGUCCUAUUCGGCAAUACUAACAUUUCAGCCUUCCCGUUGUUCACAUGAAGAGCACAGACAAUCAUAAUGAAAUGAGAGAAAGCAGUGUGCGAUGAUAUACUCUAUCUUCAAGCCAACUUUGAAUGGUAGUUGCAGAUCACUUCUUUUAGGAACACUCUUGGAGAAAUCGAGCAUUUGAUGAUGUUAACCUACAUUCUGACAAAUACAGGUCAUUGUCUUCAUUUUCAGAGUCUACAGCAACCCAACCAUCAUGAUUCACUUCACCAUUGGAUUGCACAGCUGCCACAUCACUAUUAUCCUCUUCUGCAAGGAAAUGGAGAUCCACAAACAUUGAAGACACAUUCUGUGAGAGAGUAGUUUCUAAAUCUGGAUCGGCAUGGUGAGUAUAACUGAAAUGGAAUGGAAGUCCUGAUCUCCAACCAUUGAAGAGGGGAGAGACUGUGAACUUCUAAUAACUCUGUAGAGAUUUUGCUGACUACUUGCAAUUUUCACUAAAGACAUGGAACUACCCUGAACAGGAUAAGACUCCUCAUUAAGACAUGCUAGUCGGCAAAAGCACUCAUAAUUAGAGGCAGACAACAAGAUGGCUCAAAAAGAACAUAAAUGUUCCUACAGUUGACAGCAACAAGGUAUUUUAGUAACUAAAAUAUCACCUUUCCUGGAAGUUGAUUGAUCAAACCAUUUGCGAUUCAAAAUAUGAAUCUGACCCCAUCUUUUAGCGACCUUGUAUUUAUCUUCUGGAGCUUACAGCCAGUCAAGGGCAUCGUAGUGGUACACACAGUGCUACAGAGCAUCAUAUAUGAGGCCAAUAGAAAGAUUCAAUGGUAAUAACAUUGCUGAGCAAUGUGCUUUGAGCAACCAACAGGCAGUCCUAACUCACACUGGAAAAGCGAGAACUGGCUGAGGAUCUUUUAACAAUUAGCGGUUCAAAUUGUACGUUGUUUAACACCUUGUUUCCUUGAACCACAGAACACAAUUCUUUAGGACUGAUUUAGAAGUCAAAGUCAAUGAUAUUGUCAUGCCAGGAAGUUUCACUGUUUCUCAUCGUAAUCAAAUUCCCAAGUAAAAGGACAUUACCAAAAACCAAGAUUAAAUCAAGCAUAGCUAUUUCCUAUUUCAAACUAUAAUCAUCACUAAACCUUGAAAUGAUAUAGAUCUUCUUUUCAAACUCUUAAAUGUGUUUUCAUAUGCGAAGACAAGAUAAAGAUAUGUGCAUUUUGACACAGUGAUCUGAUAUCAAAAGGAAAAUAUGCAAGCAAAUCACUGGACCUUAAUCUUGAAGAAGAAAGGAUAUUUCUGCAAUUAAAUGAGUGCACUUCCUGGUCAAUUCUGCAGAAUAUCUCCCACCAUUUUGUGUAAUAUGCUUCUGAAUCUCCUUCCGUGCGUCUAAGAUCAUGAAGGACAUAAAAAUUGAAGAACUGGAGGACAACCAACAGCAGCAGCUAUAUCAAACAAUCAGUACCUGCAGGAAUUCCUGCGAAGUUCAUUGUCAAUCCAGAAAAUGGAAGAACUCUAUAAGACUCUUGAGGUACAACACGGUGCUCAAUACGGCAUUGGUAUAACCAAUUAAUGGUGACAACAGGUCACUUCAGAACAUUUAAAGCCCACUGUACGAUGACAACAUUAAUUGAUAAAUACAAUUUAUCUCUCAAGAUGGGAUUCAUAAAAGAAUUUGCACAGAGAAUAUUCAAAAAUAUAUAUAUAUAUAUAUAUGAAGGAAACUCUUCCUACGUUCAGCCAACUCAAUCAGAGUACUACCCAUGAUGCUUCCCAUACUCAGUGAAAAAGCAUAAUGAAUCUCAUUUAAAGUGAAUUUAACCUUAACAAGAUACAACAAAUUUGCAACUUUUAACUAAAUUCAAAUUAUAAACUCCAAGACUUGAACCUUGUAUUUUGCAGCCAAAAUAUUCUUCGCAAUUACGAAGCUAACAUCUACUGAAGUUUUGGUUUGUAGAACUCCCCCCAUUGAAGCUACCGAUUUCUCAAUCUCAGCCUGCAGAUUCGCGGAAAUGGUGAAACAAUAAUAGAGACGACAAGCUGCCACCAUAUUUGUUCAGACAAAAGCAUGUCUGAAGGCACAACAAUCAAGGGUCACAUUGAAGGAUACAUGGAUAAGGAUAAGUGACGCUUCACACUGAAGUUUUGGUUUGUAGAACUCCCCCCAUUGAAGCUACCAAUUUCUCAAUCUCAGCCUGCAGAUUCGCGGAAAUGGUGAAACAAUUAUAGAGACGACAGGCUGCCACCAUAUUUGUUUAGACAAAAGCAUGUCUGAAGGCAAAAGAAUCAAGGGGUCACAUAGAAGGAUACAUGGAUAAGGAUAAGUGACGCGUCACACUGAAUUCGAGAGACAAGUUACGACAAAGAUUACACGCUAAAAAAUCAUACAAGGCCAGGCUUAUCUAGGAACAGGCAUACCUCCUCAUCCACCUCAAAUCCAGAUGCAAGGACUUCGACAUUAUCUAUCGCAAGACAAACAAAUAUACCCUUUUUGAGGUAGAAGUCUCCGUUCUUUCGCACACGAAACCACCACACACUGCGGACCUGCAAGAAAUAUCCCCCAUCAAAAGUCAACAUUUUUUUCCCAGGCAGAAGAACUCCUCUCGACUUGCUUGACCAGCACAUUGACCCCAAUGCCUCCGCUUUCGUUUCUCAACUACAAGUCCUGGUUUAGCAUUUAGCAGCCUGGAGGAAACACCAGAAGAUAAGACUAGGACGAGAACAAGAUCUUUACCGACUAGCUUACAACCCUUUCGCCUGAAGAUCCUCGAGCUUCUCAAGACGUAAAACAACGUCAAACCCAAUUUUCAAAAUGAACCCAAAAGCCGUUAGCGCCGCCCAAUCCCAACGUACUCACGUGAUCGGGGAGAAGAAACAGCUUGAAAAUCGCGGGGCCCACUCCUGGAAGGGUCGCGGCGGAGGAAGGCCUCAGCUCCGUUCAGCUUGAGCGCGUCGAACGGCUCGGGAGGCACUCAAGUUCCUCGACACGAACACGGUCGCCCCCCUGAAACGGCUUCAUCUUCGCCAUUUCCUAUCUUCCUUCGCCGGCAGCGACUUCCUCAACAGAUGAUCGGUCUCGUUGCUAAGGAUUUCUGCGAAAUCCAAAUGCAUGUGAGAGAGAGAGAGAGAGAGAGAGAGAGAGAGAGAGCGACGAUGAAGCGCGAAGGGAAUCGGAAGUUGGAAGAGGAUGAAGGAGGAGCGACUUGGGGAAGAAUUGAGUGGAGUGAGCUUUUUCUGAAUUCUUCCCCAAAUUGGGAUGGAUUAGGGUAUGAGAAAGCGAGGGAAUGGGGUUUUUCUUGCGCUCUUUUCGGAUUUUCCUUUUUAAUUCCCCUUUUUUGUGCUAUUAAUUUUGUGGAUAAUUUCUCAAAAACCCCCCAGCUUUCACGCCGUUGCAUGACUGCUCUCGAACUGUGAAAAAGUUACGCACUAUGCCCGCGCCGGCGACACGAGCCAUGAAAGAAAAUAAAAGAAAAGAAUAAAAGCAAAGAAUUCAAAAAGAAAAAAUUUUAAAUUGCAAAAACUUAUCCAUGUCAACAUUGACAUGAUAAAUGAUCAAUAUUCACAUUAGCAAUUUUCAAUCAAAAUUAGUCAAAAGAAUUACAUUAACGAUUUGUCAAAAGUUUUAAAAUUAAAUUGACCAAAUUAAAAAAUUUAUAAUCGAAUUGACAUCCGUUGAUGAUUAUUUUGUCAAUUUUCCCUAAGAAUUUAGUCACAUGUCUAGAUCAAAACUUCACAUGAAGUUUUUAUUGUGGACCCAUAAGUGCCGAAAAAUUACAUUGGAUCAUGGAUAACACUUUUUAUCAUGUUUCAAGAGCAGCCAAAAAUUAGGGCUUCUUGGCGAUAAAUCUUUUUAUAGGUUUUUUUUUUUUUUUUGGUUGAUAUCUUUUUAUGGAGUUCAACUCUACAUUAUAUGACCAACCAAAAGAAUUUUAGAGACACUUUCAGAGCAAAUCCUAAUAUUAAUUAUAACAAUAAACGUGAGUCAAAACUUUCAUUUCGUACAUUUAAAUCCCAAAAUUUGUAACUCCAACAUAUGUGGGUCCUUUUGUUAAUUCUGUCAAUGGAUGGAUAAUAACAAGUGGAUUUUUUCUACUCACGGGUCAUUUUCUGUCUGCUAAAACCUAAUAGGACUAAUGGGAAGACUAAAGUGAGGGCUCAACCUAAUACAACAAGUUGAGGGCUCAGGUGCACGAAAUGAAAGUUUUAAGACCCAAAUGUAUCGUCGUGACGUCUUUUAAAUUGACUUACAAAUUCAUCAUGCUAACAAAACUUAUGAUCAUUCCUUAUACUUGACUUUGGAAAUAUGCUUGCUAUGUUUGCACAUAUAAUCUUGGGACAAAUAUAAUAACUACAAAAAUCCAAUGAAUCAAUCCAUGACAUCUUAGGUUGGACAUGAGUAUCGCGAUAUUGGACAGAGCAUUCAGAGCCCCUUAAAACUUGCAGUCUUACAAGAUGAAAAAGGAAGCCUGGUAGUAGGAGUAGAUGUACAAUUAGAUCCAAUCUAUACUUUGGGACUUCGGAAACUAUAGAGGAGGUGGGACCCCUAAAUUCCAACACACCUCGUACAAAGAAGAUUUUGAAUGAGCCAUCAAGCUGCAUAUAAACAAUUUCCAUAUAGGUAUAUUGGUUUAUAUGAUAUGCAUUCAUUUAAUUAACCCUACGGCUAUAUCCAUGUUGAGUUUGUGACGCUACUCUUCUUGAAGUACCCUAUGAUAAGUCUACUAUUCAUGAGAAAUGUCUUUGACCUCAGUUUCUAAACAAGUUUGUAUUAAGGUUUCUACGGGACUGCUAGACUAAUUCAUCGGUGUGUCCAUGGUCAGCAUUAAUAUAGGAGCUGACCAAUGGAAUCAACUAGGCUCCACGUGAUCAAACAGUUAAACACCGAAAAGUUUCGAGAAAUCUCGAUUUGUUUCCCUUGUCACUCCCAACUUAUGCACCUCGUAAGGUACUUCAUUACAGAAUAACCAAGAGUACCUUGUCCACCAACUAACAAAACUUAUCGGUAAUUGCCGCUCUAUAUUGAUGACACAGAAGACGAUCUCCAAAAUAAACUCAAAAAAGGCAACUAAUUUUAAGGCAAAUAGGAAUUUACAGCUCUUGCCCCAAAAAAAUCAUUGCUGGAGAUAUGAGGCAUCCGCAUUGCCAAUUAACUACAAAGGCAAUGACAACCAGUCAAUCAAAUGAAUUCAAUUAGCUAUUGAAAAGUUCAACAAAAGGAAAAUGAACUUAUGUCGUAAGGCACAUCUUAAAGGUAAAUGCUUUUUAAUUCUCGCUAUGUAGCAUUAACUAGACUAUUCAAAACUUGGAUGUGCAAUUGGUUGAAGGUUUAUUUUAGGGGAAAGAGAGGGAUUGGAUUUGGUAGAUACGAGUCUUUCCUCUCUGGACUUCUUUAAGUGGAAAGGCAUUUCAUUCAAAUCCACCUCCGAUUUUCUCUUAAUCUUCUUCUACGGCGAUAUCGCCUUUCCUUGUCUUGCAUCUUCCGAGAAGGUGCUCGAAGUUAUCUUGAUUUCCUCUUGCUUAAUUCUAUCUGAUCUGUAAUAGGUUAUUAUGAUUCUUUUAGCACCAAAUGAUGGUGAUGAUAAUGAUUGAUUACAGCUACUUUUAUACAACGAAAGGGAGCUUUUCUUUUCCAUCCAUUCCUUUGUUUGCCGUUUCCGAUGCGGAGCACCACAUGUAAUCAUGGCAUACAAUUAAAUAUGCUCAGAUUGGAGAGAUGGAACGGCUGGGAUUCUGGUCCCAGAAUCAGGUCAACAUGGUAAGGAUCGAAAGCCUUUUUGCAUAAAGGAAUUCUGGGCAAUGAGUCAGCCCUCACUCCCCACCUUUCUUAUAGAUCCAUCACAUCUUUACUAAAUUAGGGCAACGUUGUUGUUACUAUAGGUGCAAUAAUUUUGAAGAGAUGCCCAAAAAAAAAAAAAAAUCGCCAGGCCUCCACGGAAUGAAGAGUUAUUUUCUUGCAUCAGCUUUAGUCUUGAGGCCCGCACUGCGUGCAUGCAUGAUCACAAAUGGAUAACGUAUGAAGAGAAAAGUAUUUUUUUUAUUGAGCGGAUGUGGAGUGCAUGCUAAUUACACACAGGUAUAAUUUGGUGAUUAGUUGGUAAGGAGACGGUGUGUGAUUUUAACUUUCAACAGGAAGGGCAAUUUUGGAAAAAAAAGAGAUCGACAAAAUAAUGUUAUGGUGAAAACAAAGAGGUGCAAGUGUUGUGAGAUUCAAACCUAGGACCACGAGCGAUAAGGAUUGAAUGGUGAUGAACUUGUUUUGCCGUUUGGAGAUAGAUCUUCAUAUAUCCCUCAAAAGCAUGUUUCGGGUUGGUUUUUGAACGGGUCAAAAAUAGUUCGGCUCAAAUAAACUCAUUUUAAUCCGUUUAAUCCAUUUACAUACAAUAUGUAUAUAGUGACUCAGAUCCAACAAUGUCCCGUGUUGCUAAAACAUGUCUUUAUUUAACCCAAAUCUAGGAAAAUUCACACCCAAAAUCGAGAUGGGUUGGGUCAUAAACCCAUUUAGUACCUCAUCAUUUAUUUAUGGAAGAGGGAGGUGAGGGGUUCAAAUCCUCACAUUCUCGGGGGGAUGGGGUGGGGACGCGUAAGUUUCAGAAAUGGGUUUCGACUCCCACGCCCUGCAAGAGGCAAGGCAAAAGUCUAAGAGUGAGUGUAGAGUAGGAAUAGAGUAGGAAUAGAGUAGGACUAAUAAAAAAAAAUAUUCAAGAGAGAUAAAAAGACAAAAACACGCCCGGAUCGGAUUCGCACUCAGCACUGUUUUCGUAGCACCGAUUGCAACGGGCAAAUGGCCCCUUUCCUCGCCCGACCCACGGUCCAUCCCCCACAUUUCUCGUCCGUGGCAUGUGACUCGCAGGUGCAGAGACAGAGAGAGAUUCGACCAUGUGACCCCACCUCCUCGAAUGCCCAGAUCCGCCAGCUUCGGCGCUUUGACUUCAAAGGAAAAAACGACGACGCAGCACAAACCGUUCGGCGUUCGACCUCGGCAGUUCUUGGCAAAGGGGAACGUCAUUUCGCUCUUCCAUCCCCCGUUUUUUAACUUUUCAUCUUUUCUUUAUUUCAGAAAAAAAAAUAAUUUCUUUAUUUCCUUUUUUUUUCCUUCUUCUCGAAUAUGGUUAAAGGCCAAAUCGAAUAUUUCUAAGAAGGCAAAUCCCUAUUUUUCCCCCUCCUCCCCUUUUCCGAGUUUUCAUACAUUCUUUUUUCUGCUCCGCUUGGGACUUUUAUGCAGGACGAAAUUUCCUUUCCUUUUUUUUUUUUUUUUUGUUAAUUAAAUGAAAGAGAUCUUGAAAAGGGAAAGUCCGUCAAAUUGAAGCCAUGUGUAUCCGGGUAAACUUCUUGUUUUCCAUUUUCAGUUUUUGGCAAUAAAAUUAUUUUUGAAUAAUGGAGAAACCUUAAUUUUUGCAAAAAACGAGAACGAAUCUCUCGAGAUGGAUUAGAUGCGUUGUAUAAAAAGAAGUAAUACAAAUGUUUUGGCCACUUAUUAGGAUUUUGACUUAUGUUUUAUUCGGUUUACAAUGUUAGAGGGUUAUUCUUGGGGAUUUUUCUGAAAUUGGAUUAUCACCAAGAAAGAAGUACGAGUAAAUUAUAAUUUAUAAGACCGGAUCAAUAGAUUUCAUGCAAAGUCUUCUUUCGGUUUUUUGGUCAAAAAAUUUAUGCAGAGAUUUGAUGCUGUAGAGCCUGAAUAUCUGGCGGAGAAUGCAAACUUUGGUAAGCAAUGCAAUAACACAAACCACAAUUAAGGAACCAACAAAAUGCAAAUUCUUCUGAACCCCUUGCAUCAAAUAUUAAUAAAUCUGGUAAAAAAAGCCAUUAACAAGUCAGUCCCGUUGCGCAAAGAAACCGUUAAAGAUGACAAAUCAUUCAAAUUUGCCUAGUCAUGUGCACCAGCAGUGAAAGCCAUGAAAAGAAGAGGGCAGUGAAAUAGCUCUGAGCUUCAUGGCUGAUAAGAUUCAAAGAAAUCAUAUCACACAGUGUCACUCUCCUCCCAUCAGCUGAACCCAAAGAAAAAAAAAAAAGACAAAAUAAAAACGGAAGGAAUUGGAGAGAAAGGAGGUGGGACCCAAGAAAAUGAAGGGAAGUGCUUGGAUCAAUGCUUCAUAAGAGAGCCUGGCAACAAGGCAGUUUACAGCAUCUCAUGUUGAAACAAAGCAUAUGUGAAAUUCAAAUCCAAGAUCUAACUGUGACUUUUAGAAAAUACGAUUGCUGAAAUAGCUACGUGUUAGGGAAAAGUCUACGAUACAAAUAAAAACUGCCAAGUUCUGAAGAAAAUUAUGUGACAUGACCAAUGAGGCCUUUCAAUUGUCAAAAACACGUUAAUUUCCAUUUUCUUUAGUGUGGCGCAUGUGUUUGAUUAAACCAUCACAUCUUACUAAAUUAGGGCAACGUUGUUGUAAUUAUAGUUGCAAUAAUUUUGAAGAGACACCCAAAAACAAAAAACAAAAAUCGCCAGGCCUCCACGGAACAAAGAGGCAUUUAAUUGCAUCAGCUUUAGUCUUGAGGCAUGCACUGCGUGCAUGCAUGAUCACAAAUGGAUAACGUAUGAAGAAAAAAGAAUUCUUUUUAUUGAGCGGAUGUGGAGUGCGUGCUAAUUACACACGGGUGUAAUUUGUUGAUUAGUUGGUAAGGAGACGGUGUGUGAUUUUAACUUUCGACAGAGGGCAAUUUUGGAAAAAAGAGAUCGAUAAAAUGAUGUUAUGGUGAAAACAAAGAGGUGCAAGUGCUGUGAGAUUCAAACUUGCGACCACGAGCGAUAAGGAUUGAAUGGUGAUGAACUUGUUUUGCCGUUUGGAGAUAGAUCUUCAUAUAUCAAUCAAAAGCGUGUUUCGGAUUGGUUUUGAAACGGUUCGAAAAUGAUUCGGCCCAAAUAAACUCAUUUUAAUCCAUUUGCAUGUAAUAUGUAUAUAGUAACUCAUAAGAUAACCAACAUGUCCUCUAUUGCUAAGACAUCUCUUUAUUUAAUCCAAAUCUAAGAAAAUUCAUACCCAAAAUCGAGAUAGGCCGGGUUAUAGGCUGGGUUAUAAACCCAUUUAAUACCUUCUCAUUUAUUAUUUACGUUUACGAUCUAGUUUGACAUGUCUAGAUCUUCAAUAGGGAUAAAAAGACAAAAACACGCCCAGAUCGGAUCUGGACUCAGCCCGUUUUCGCAGCACCGAUUGCAACGAGCAAAUGGCCCCUUUCCUUGCCCGACCCACGAUCCAUCCCCCACGUUUCUCGUCCGUGGCACGUGACUCGCAGGUGCGGAGACAGAGAGAGAUUCGAAAGCAUCCGGUUUCCAUGUGAACCCCCCAUCGAACGCCCAGAUUCGCCAGUUUCAGCGCUUGGAGUUUAAAGGAAAAAAUGACAACGCAGCACACGAAUCGUUCGACCUCGGCAGUUCUUGGCAGAGGAAAACGUCGUUUCGCUCUUCCGUCCCCCGUUUUUUUUUUAACUUUUCAUCUUUUCUUUAUUUCCUUUUUUUUUCCCUUUUUCUCGAAUAUGGUUAAAGGCCAAAUUGAAUAUGUCUAACAAGGCAAAUCCCGAUUUUUCCCCCUCCUCCCAUUUUCCGAGUUUUCAUACAUUCUUUUUUCUCCUCCGCUUGGGACUUUUAUGCAGGAUGAAAUUUCCUUUCCUUUUCUUUUUUUUUUUUUGCUAAUUAAAUGAAAGAGAUCUUGAAAAGGGAAAGUCCGUCAAAUUGAAGCCAUGUAUAUCCGGGUACCCUUCUUUUUUUCAUUUUCAGUUUUUGGCAAUAAAAUAAUUUUUGAAUAGUGGAGAUACCUCAAUUUUUACAAAAAAAAAUGAGAACGAAUAUGAUGGAUUAGAUGUGUUAUAUAAAAAGAACUAAUACAAAUGCUUUGGCCGCUUAUUAGGAUUUUGACUUAUGUUUUAUUCGGUUUACAACUUAGAGGGUUAUUCUUGGGGAUUUUUCUGAAAUUGGAUUAUUGCCAAGAAAGAAGUACGAGUAAAUUAUAAUUUAUAAGACCGGAUCAAUAGAUUUUAUGCAAAGUUUUCUUUUGUUUUUUUUUGGUCAAAAAAUUUAUGCAGAGAUUUUGAUGCUGUAGAGCCUGAAUAUCUGGCGGAGAAUGCUAACUUUGGUAAGCAAUGCAAUAACACAAACCACAAUUAAGGAACCAACAAAAUGCAAAUUCUUCUGAACCCCUUGGCAUCAAAUAUUAAUAAAUCUGGUAAAAAGCCAUUAAAAAGUCAGUCACGUCGCGCAAAGAAACCGUUAAAGAUGACAAAUCAUUCAAAUUUGCCUAGUCAUGUGCACCAACAGUGAAAGCCAUGAAAAGAAGAGGGCAGUGAAAUAACUCUGAGCUUCAUGGCUGAUAAGAUUCAAAGAAAUCAUAUCACACAGUGUCACUCUCCUCCCAUCAGCUGAACCCAACAAAAAAAAAAAAAAAAGACAAAAUAAAAACGGAAGGAGUUGGAGAGAAAGGAGGUGGGACCCGAGAAAAUGAAGGGAAGUGCUUGGAUCAAUGCUUCAUAAGAGAGCCUGGCAACAAGGUAGUAUACAGCAUCUCAUGUUGAAACAAAGCAUAUGUGAAAUUCAAAUCCAAUAUCUAACUGUGACUUUUAGAAAAUACGAUUGCUGAAAUAGCUACGUGUUAGGGAAAAGUCUACGAUACAAAUAAAAACUGCCAAGUUCUGAAGAAAAUUAUGUGACAUGACCAAUGAGGCCUUUCAAUUGUCAAAAACACGUUAAGUUCCAUUUUCUUUAGUGUGGCGCAUGUGUUUGAUUAUAUGGUGGAGUGGGUGGGUGUGCAUUGGGGUUUAGUGGAGGAAACUUGAAGCGAAAAGGUUCAAAACAAUGUGAACCUGAAAAGCCUAGCCCCUCUAACCCAGGGGUAUCAGCAAGAAAAAUUCUACAGCCUUGACCCCCCUUAGCCUAUCCCAAGCAAAGGUGGCAAAAAUGGGUCAAAGACUAACUUUUUAACUCACACUUAGUGGAAUCAUUGGAUUUGCCCCGGUGGCUAUGUUUCUCACAUGAGAAGGGGGAGGCGGGGAGUUCGAAUCCCCCAUUUUUAAGGAGUCGAAGUAAAAACGAUUUAGUUUUAAAUGUAGGUUUCGAGUUCCACACCUUGCAAUGAGGUAGAGUAAAAGUUUGAAAGUGAGAGUUAGAGUAAUCAACUCUUACUUAGUAGGCUGGGUAUUAUUUGUGCUGGUUUAAAUUUUAAGAGCGUAUUAUUAUGCUUCAGAGUAGCAAAGCCCAACUUUGUCUUGGCCCAGCUAGCUAAUCUUCAAAAGUGUAUCCGCAGCCCACAUCCCUAAAUGGAGUUGGGAACGUGAGGAUGUGAUAAAUAAAUGGACGUCACCGGGGUUGUAUUUAUUCCUCGCUAGUUCCACACGCUAACGAUUUCAUCUAAAUCCAAUAUAUUAUAAAAUGAUACGACAUCACUGGUUUAUUCUCUUGAACCUUUAAAAUUUUAAAUAAUUGAUUGAUAUAUAAAGCUAUAAAUGUUAGAUGACACCAAAGAAGAAGCGGAUGCUCCCUCGAUGCUCCCUUCUAUGGCGCUCUUGGUUUUUCGUCUUGAGAUGAUUGAAUACAAGGAUAGAAAGAAGAACUAGUGUAGUGAGCACACACAAAGGAAUGAUGUGUUGUGAAAUGAAAUAAUGUCUCUUUCUUGUUUCCCUUGCUCUGGCUUUGCCCUUUUCUCCAUGGAAGUGGUGGAAAAGUAUUAGACAAUAUAAAAAAUAAGAAUUAGUGGAAAUUUAUUGAAAAAGAUAUUAAAAAAAAAAAAAGAUCGAUUGUUUGAGACAUGCGAGUACUAUUCUUGAGGAUAAUUCCACCUCUCGAAGUAUGAAAUUCAGUACAAUAGGCUCUAGAGGUUAUCCUCACAAGAUAUAACUCUAGACAGAAUAAUAAAUGAAAUGGGAACAUAUUAUGUGUAUAGCAUAGCCAAAAAAAGGGAAAUAUAUUUGAAUUAUGCGAAUUCAAUGUAUCUCAUAUGAUUUUGGUUUAUAGUUUAAUCUUGUAUUCGAAUGAAAGAGAGAGCUAUUAAUAAAUGAUUAUAAAUUAAUUGAUAUUAAUAAAACGAUGACCGUUAUAAAUUAUAAUUUGAUCACGUCAUAAACGAAAGAGAGAACCCAUAAUUCUCCUUUGCACUUGGUAAAGUCUUGUGAUCUUUGUCUUGGUAAAUUUCCUUACUCAUCGCAACUUUUCUUAAUCAAAUGAUAAUUUGAUUACGUCCAUAACUUUCCUUUCAUGUAUUGAAGUGAUGACUGAAAAUCGAUUUUGCAAAAUAGACUUGGCAGAUCAUGUUUUAACCCUUUCUAUCCAACGGUCUGUGUUGAAUGUAGGACUAAUCCCAUAAAAGAGAGUUUUGACUUGUGAAAUUCCCGUCCCCAUCGGGAGGUUUUGCCCAUAAUAAAGUAGCUUUUUAUUAUUAUUUUUGCCAAACAGUCAAGUAGUGUUUGGAAAUGCUAUUUUUCUUAAAGUUUUGAAAAUCAUUCCACUGUAAUAUUUAUAUUUAUAUGUAAAUUAAGGAAUAGUGUUACUUUGUCAAUGUUGUCUUUCACUGACGCACAGCAACAGACAAGUCUGUAACUCUAGUUUGAUAUGCAAGUCUUCCGUUUCCAGAAUAACCUUCACACAUAAUCCUAUCUCCCGAGGUUAACGAUGAUUUAACCCCAAGCGUGUCAAAUGAAGCCCGGGGUGCAAAAUAGAGCUUAGACAAACUUCAGGGGCGAAAGAGGAAAUUUCGAAAAAAAAAAUUGAAAAAAUAAGGCUCAAUCUCUCCCAUUCUCCGGCGUAUAUAUAAAAAUAGGUAGCGGAAAACAUCACCAUUCCCGCCAUCGCUGGGAACGUCUUUUGAAAAGAGCACUUCGAAGCACGCGGUCUCUAGAGAGAUUAGCGAUCGUCUCGAUUCAACUGCGGCUCGUGCAUCAUCGAUCGAUCGAUCGAAUUGUUCGAACAAGUUGAGACUCCAUGGAGGAUCGGGGCUUGGAAGAGGUAGAGAAAGCUCAGGGCUGCUGAGCUUGACUCUCGAGUUCGGCUUCGGCGAGCAGUCCGCCAGCAAGUGCUUGGGACCGUCUCGUUUCCCUCUACGGUAACUCGAAUCGUUAUUUCAUCGCCCAUUUUUUAUGCCGAUUAGCGUUGCGGAGGUUGUGUAGGUAUUUUGGCGAUUGAUUGUGUUGCGUGGAUGAUUCGUGAAUCGAUUGAUUGUGCAGUCCUGAAUACGAAGAUUUAUUGGGGAUAGUUGUCAUUCUGAUGAUGGCUGUGGAAUGGUCUGCCUGUUGGAUGUGAAUGCACCAGAGCUAGUUAAAUGUAGUUCAUUGAUCUCGUCCCUAUUUCUCAGUGGUUUUUGCGGAGCAGUCUUAUUGACUUGCGAAAUGUCUCACUUAUUUCUAAACUGACUGCAAAUUUACACAUGGUGUCUUGCCUACAUAUAAAUAUGGUGUCUCACUGAACUAAGUGCAAAUAACAUAUCGUAGAUUGUGUUUAUUUGAUCUCUUGUUUUCCAUGGAACUUGCAAAAUCAUCUCUUUCUUCUUUUGGUUUUCUUAACAUGAGAAGGUCGAGAGUUUAUCAAGUGGAGCACUGUGGCGAUGGCUUCCUAGCAAACUUGCUGAAAUGAUGCAAGAUUCUGAGGAUUGGGAUGAUUUACAAGCUGCGAAAAAUCAAAAGCUUAUGGAGGUUUGAUUGUAUGUUUGGCCAAGACAUUCGUAAUGGCAGUGAAUGCAACGUUUCGCACUAUGUCGAUAUUUUAGAAGAUUCUCCACAACCUGAGGAAAACCAAACUUUUCUUGAGGUGGAUUCCUCUACCAAUAGUGAAGACGAGGACAACAUAUUUGGCGGCAAAAUGGGUAGGAAAUCCACAUGCUAUAUUCCUGACCAAAGUAGUACUUCAGGCGAUUCUUCCACUCAACUUCUGGCGAGACAAUCUCUAGAAUCCAUGUUAUGCUUCUCCCAUUGACAUAGACAACACACGCCAAACCACUUAAAUCACUUUAUCACUAUUCUUUUCUCAUAUAAGAUGUUCUCUCCUCGAUCUUGCUUGUGAUUCCGCACACAGCAAAGGACCUACACUAUGUACAUGUACAAAAGCAUUAAUUACUCAUGGGCCCUCUCAUACAAUCAAAUGUCGAAUAGACACCCCUAGCGUUUGCCAAUUACUUCCACAAUCUUCAAGAUCCAAAAUGACAUAUUGGAACUCCUUGGUCAAUAAAGAAGUUGAUUUUAGUUUUGGAUGAUGUACGAAUGCCUAUAUUUCGCAAAUGCUUUGAGAGUAUAGCAAAUCAUUAAAGUCUGGACUUUAGCAAUCCACCAUUAUCGGUAGGAAUAUUUUGUGUAAAUGAAGGCUUGUGAUUUCUUUGUGUACAUUCACCACAAACAUAUAGGACAAGUUGUGUUGACACCUAAAUUUUGACGGCCCAUUUAUUUAUUUAGUGCAUAGAAAAUUAAAGGUUAAGUUUAUCCCUAAAAAAAAAAAUCAAUUGCAUAACAUAUAGUUUAGAAGCAUUUUACAUUAUUCUUUUAUCACUUUUGCAUUUGAUCAGCGGCGGAUGAGCUUCACCUUUACGAGUUGACAUAAAGGAUUCAUAUUAUUCUUCCAAUAUUCGGUAAUUAUUUCAUAUAUUCAUAUUAGGCGAUAUAUUACAAAAGAUUGGAAGUUUAAGCAUGAAAUAUCAAGAAGAAUAUCACACAUGGGGAUAUUUUGAGCGAUAUAUUCUAUGUCUCAAGACAAGAAAUAUUUCCUAAUCAAAGGAGAUUUCGUGCGUGAGCUGAGAAAGGAAGUGAAAUAAUCCACGAAAAUCAAAGUUAUUCACCUAUAUAAGAGCCGCGUACGGAGAAAAAGAAAAGGAGGCCACACACUUCGAAUAUACGGCCGCACAAGGGGUUUUCUCUCGAGUAGGAAGUUAGGAAAUUCAAGAAAAGAAAAGUCAAAAAGACUUCUUCGCUUUUGCUGAAAGGACGACAGAGAGAACUGCCGAGAGAAGAGAGGGGGAAACGUGGGAUGUGACGUACAGCAGGAUGUGAGGGCUUCAUUCAGCAAAAAAAAGAAUAAUAAAAAAGGAGAAAAGAGCCCCUGUUCAUCUUCAUCCGCGAAGCCGCACACUGCCGGCCUCCCCGGUAGCGCCUCCACCCGCGACGCCUCUGCUCCGACGCCACGCCCACACCACGACGACGCGGUCGCAACCACCAACCACAGCACCCGCACCGCCGUCACGCCCGCCUUGCCUGCAAUCCACUCCGUCUGCUGCGACCCGAGCGCCGACACCGGAGCCGCUCCUGCCCUGCUCCGCCACUCGUCCGCGAUCGCCCAGCGCAGAUCUAUGUUCGCCGAGCCCUUCGCUGUGCCACUGAGACUCCGGUAGCCUGUAGCCCCGCGAAGCCGAAGCCCACUGCGAUUUCGCCCUGCUGCUUCGCCGUUCCGCCCCACGCCGUAGCGACGCCAGCAGCUGCCGUCGCCUGUCCGCCUAGCUCCGUCUCUGCUCCAACCAGCGACCGACGCUGCUCCUGCCCGGGUGCCGUCCCUGUCGGACCCCCCUCACCGGACCGACGGCCGGCUUCCCCUUGGAGACCUACGAGCAAGCCGUGCUCGAGAAGGCAUAAGAAAGAGAAAAAACAAACAAAAGAAAAAAAGAAUUUUUUUAGGUAGUUCUUUAUCCUUUUUUUUUACUUAUUUGCCUUAUUUUGUUAUUUUUGUUAUUUUAUUGCUUUAUUUUAUUUGUUCUCUUGUAGUUUAAUUAUCCUUUAAUGUGAAAUUGAAAUUCCAUGAUAUGAAAUUGCCUUGAAAUUAGUGAUUGUCAGUUCGAUUUUCGAGCUCGAAGUCCGACUCGCAAUUACUUAAAAAAAUUGCAAAUCCGAUCUCCCGCUCGAGAUCCGAUUCGUGAUUUAUGUGAAAUUGGCCAACCCGAUCUCAUGCUCGAGAUAUGGUUCGUCGAUUUGGAUAUCAAUAUGGCUUGAUUUGCUGUGGUGUUACUUAAAUUAGUUUUCUUUAAAAAAAAAUCAAAAAAUGUAGUUUUAGGGUUUGCAUGUUCAUAAUAGGUAUUUUAUUUCGAUUUUUCAAAAAAAAAAUUAAAUCAAUUAAUUUAGGUUGCUAGUUUGUUUAAAACUUGGAUUGCAUGUUUAAUUAUUUGGCAAUUAUUAAUUUCGAAAUUUAAAAAAAGGGAAAAAAGGAAAAACACAAAAAAAGUCAUCAUGCAUUUGUCAUGUAAAAUUAAUGCAUCUUUUGCACUGUCAUUGCAUAUUAGAAUAAAUUGCAUGCUUAUUUAGAAUAAAAACCAUGUGCACGUCAUAUAGAAUUAUGUUCACACAAUGCACGUCAUUUAGUGAUUUUUGUUAGGUCAAUUUAAUUAGAAAUUGUCAGUCAUUAGAUUAAUUUAGAUUGCAUAUUUAAAUGUUGCAUUUCUUUAAUUUUGAAUCUCAUAGAAAAUACAAAAAAAUUAUUUAGAAUAAAUCAUCUCAUGCUUAUGAUAGACUACAUGCUUAGUUAUGUCAUAUUGCUUAGGUCAUAUAGUUAAGUCAUGUGCCAUGUCAUAUCAUUUCAUGUUAAAUUAGUGGCAUGCAUCGCAUAUUGCAUGAUUUUCAUUAAUUAAGUGAAAACAAAAUAAAAAUUGCAUGUUAAUUAGAAAUCAUAUUUAUGAUUGCUGAUGUGAAUUUUAAACUAACAACGCAGAUGCUUUCGUUGCUAUGAGGUAAGUCCUGCAAUUUAUUCAUUUGCUUUCUUGAAUGUUAAAUUGGUGGUUUGCGUACUUGCAUGGUCACCUCACAUGUUAAGGAAUUAAAAUUAAUUCAAGUUUGCUUGCCAAACAAUUUUUUCGAAAUUAAAAGAAUGGUACCGAAAGGGCGUUAGAGAAAUCUAGCGUAACCAAGUCCCUGUACCCAAAUCUCUGGUUCGUAGGGGUAAAGUAAAUCUCCCAUUACUUUACUUGGGUUUCUAAUCGACCCACCAAAAAUAGAUUAGUGGCGACUUCUAAUUAAAAAUCAAUUGCAUGUUAAGAAUUUGAACCUAAGUCGCGAAUUGGUAUGGGCUUGGGAGAGCCCAAGUUAAGUCUAGGCUUAACAAUCCAUUAGUCAAACCCUAGGUGGUUCACACCCGAAAAAAAUUGGUCGCGACAAGUUGCAACAUUGUUUUCAUAAAUUAAUGAUUUUUGUCCAAUGUUACACUUAAAUAGAUUUUGGGUAUCAAUUUAAAGGGAGGUUUUCACCUAAUAAUUUUGUUGGAUAAAUUGGAGUCUCGUAUGGUUUUUACUCUCAAAGUUAGUUUUUCCUAUAUAUGCACAAACUUUUUAGAGUUUGAAAUCAGGUUUUGAUUCAAUGUUAACAUCUCAAUUUUUUAAAACUCGAAGACAAAUUUUCAAAGCUGGCGUUUUAAGUUGGUUCGUAGCAAGAAAAAUUUCUUGUUAAAUAUUUAUGGGUUGUUGAAGGCGUGAAAAUGAGAAAACAUGGUAUUCGUCUUCUGCAGUAUUGCUUGGUAACUGGAAUUAGUUGUUGAAUAUGGAAAAAAAAGAAAUAAUAUUCAUCGUCAGUCGCAAAAAAAACAAUAAAAGAAGAAGAAGAAGAUUUUGAAUAGAAGGCGCAGUUUAAGAAAUUGUUCAAGAAAUUAUGGUCUAUUAUUAAAAGAUAUGCCAAAAAAAAAGGAACAUUAUUACUGUCCAUUAUUAAAAGAUUUGCAUCUUGGAUAAUGUUCCAUUGGUCCAUGAUCAAUGAUUUUUCAAAAAUAGUCACGGGAUUGUUCCGUCUAAGAACCAUAUAUGGGGAUUAUUUUAUUGAUGGCCAAACUUUCGUUUUAUAUUGAUCUAGUCCGAGGAGCACUAAUAAGUCCAAUUUGGCUGAAAAAAGAAAAAUUAAUAAGUUUACCUUACUAGUCACUGAUUAUUUGUCUUGGUACUUUAUAAUGGUUUGAGUGUUGGUCUUUGUUUUUUAUUUUUUCCUCUAGAAAGACCCUUGGUCGUCAUUACAUCUUCUAGUUGGCUAACAUGGAUGUGAGCUUAGAUUGUGACAUUCUUCCCAAGAUUAAGAAUUAAUAAUUGCCUUUUAAAAGUUGGUCGCAACGGAACAAUAAAAAGAACAAAGAAGAUUUCUAAAAGAAGGUAGGCGGUUUAAGAAAUUGUUCAAGAAAUUAUGGUCUAUUAUUAGAAUAUAUGCCCAAAAAUGGAACCCUAUCCACUACCCAUUAUAAAAAGAUCUGCAUCUUGAAUAAUAUUUUAUUAGUCCACAACCUUUGACUUAUCAAAAAUAGUCACAAGACAAGUUAUUGAAGCCAACUAGAUUAUUAUGUGGAAGGGGAUUAUUUUUUUAUAGCCGAUCAUGAUCAAACUUUGUCAUUAUUAUCGGGGCAUGCCUGAGCAGGCACGGCUUGGGCAUGGCUCGCAUGGGCCUAGAUAUUUUAAAAAAUUAAUUUAAGAGAAAUUAAAUUAAAAAAAUUGCAAUACUUUUUUUCAAAUUAUGUAAUAUAAUGAGAAAUUAUUUGAGGGAAAUUAAUAAGGAAAAACACUCGAUUCUUUUAAACCAAAUUGAAACCCAAGUACAUCUUCAUAUAAUUUGAGAAAAAAAUUACACUUAGUGGAGCUCUACUAAUGAUUUCACUCCAGCAAUCGUGUUCUUAGGCACUGUUAGUCGGAAAUCAAUAAUUGUCUAUUGUCCAUACGCCUUGCACAUGCCUCAAAACUGACUUGAUGAUUCUUAUGUACCAUUGGGUCAAGAGUGUUUUACCUGAUUCUUUUUGUGUUUGUGUUUGUGUUUUGCAUCUACGAAUUCCCUUACGUAGAUAGCCAAUAAUUGUAUCAUAAUGAUGCUCAUACUUUAGUCUUUAUCUUAACAUUAUCUCCUCAGCAAAAUGGAUUCUGCUCGAGAACGGCACUCUAAAGAUCAAUGUGGAUGGCUCGUAUGUGAAGGGAGAGAGAAGAGGAAGCAUCGCCGGUGUUUGUAGGGACGAGUCUGGAACACCGUCGCUGGAUUUACCAAGAAAGUGCGGGUUAACUCGAUGGAGCAAGUGGACGCUCUAGCGUGCACACAAGCCCUACGCUUCUCCUCUGCUUAUGAACCCAAGUAUUCUCUAGAGUCAAAUAAUUGGUCAAUGAAAUAUGCAUUUUCAAAUCAAGAAGAGCCGACGUGGAGUAUCCAGCCUCUUAUCUCUAAAGGCAAAUGCCUGCUGGCCCAAUACGAAAGCACCCGUUAGCCCACUGCAGGAGAGAAGCGGACCAGGUAGCUGAUUGUAUCUCUAGGGCCCAUCGGCAAAAAUCCCUUCCCACCAAUUGGGUUUCUUAUCCCUAAAAAAUAUUAUGCGAUCUAAUUUAUUCAGAGGCCCAUUUAGUUUGUAAUCGCAGAGCUACUUAAAGUAUGAAAGAAGUUUAUUUCGAUGAAAAGAAGAUGAACAUUUAGAUUUCUCCACCAUCUCCGAAAUGUCAAAGAACUUACAAAAAUUUUGUAGAAAAACUUAAGUGCAGAAGUUUUCAGUGAUUGGGGCUCUUCUUGAAAUUCUAAUAACUUUAAGAUAACCUGAGUAGAGCUUAAACUUGCACAUCAUCAAGGAACUCAUUGAAUUAGUUAAUUUCAUCCUCUCCAAACACUAUUUUAUGAAUAUGCGGAUUCACGAAAAGACAAGAUUGGCCUAAAUGACGAGAAUACAUCAAUUUGUGCUUCUGCUCUUUGAUUUGAUGGUCUUGUUUGAGAAUCUAGUUAUCUCAUUGAACCUCUCACUUAUCUCCCCCUCAGUGUCUUUACAUCAAACCAUUUUUUUUUUCGCGUGGCUCUCACACUUGCCCAUCCACCACUGCGAGCGAUUGAUUCCAUGAAUCGCUCCGAGUCUUUGCCUUUUUGUGAUAAACAAAUGCAGAAAUGGGGGAUUGCUAUAAGGGCGACGGUGCUUUAUUCUGCUUGAAGUGGAUGAUUAGGAUAAGCCCUUUGCCUUCACCUGCCUAUUUCACGCAACUCCUGGAGGGAUCGUGGAGAAGAUGAAGAAGCAUUGCGCCCCUGCAACUGGCACGACCCGGUCGGAUAAAUUUGAAGGGAAUGACCCCCAACGAUUUUAGCCUUUGCAUUCUGGUGAAUUGCCUCUACCAAUUGAAAAGGUCCAAUCUUGGACUCGAAUGCACAACCAGGAGCUUUAAUCCUUGACAGAUGGCUUAUCUUGCAUCGGCAAAUGGAAAAUAAAGCAAUGAUUUUGUUGAUGAAUACAGCACGAUUUAGUAUCCAUUAUUAAAAGAUUUGCAUCUUGGAAAUGUUUUAUUGGUUGACAGUCAUUGACUUUUCAACUCUAGUCACAAGAAGAGUUAUUGAUGGAAUCGAAAAGACUCAAUGGAGUUUACUUUUUUUUUUGUUAAUCGCUCAUAAUGAAAUUUUGUCUCACUUUCAUUUUAUAUUGAUCUAGGCCAAGGACAACUAAUAGAUUUUAUUUGGCUGAAGCAUCUUCCAGCUAGGUAACACGGAUGGAACCUUGGGCUCCAUAUGUUUCCGGAAAACAUUAGACCAUGUGAUUGCAUCAAGGAGCCAUGAAUUAAACCCUUCGCCAAUAGGGAGGCUGUUAUCAUUCGUGAAUGCAAAUAUUGGUACAAUUCCUUCAUUUAUGAGAUUGGCGUAGUCUCAAAAUCUCAGGAAUACAUCAUAGGGAUCACUUCCCCCCUCCUGUUGGUGUUGGAGAGACGAAUGUAGAUAUAGAUGCUCUGGUAGUGCUCUUAUUUUCGGCAUGCAGUAUUGCUUCUGCUGUUUUUUCUUGUCUUGAGAAGAUUAUAAGCGCACGGCGAAAGAAGAAUUGGCGCGACAAGCACCGCUAAAGGGGCACCCCCAAAACCGAACUGUUGGCACUUCGUUAUUUUCGUUAUCCGGCUCUUCCCUUCAAAAGAAAGGCCCUUCCUGUAGUGCAAAAGGGAUAGAUUAACAUAUGAACUAGACUUAUGCAUCAACUUGAAACGACUGCCACCACACGCUCAACAGUAAAGUGCACAACUUCUUUUACCCAAAGAAAAAAAAAAUUACAGACCCAAGGGUGUCAAAUGAAACCAAGAAAAACUUACAGGGGGCAAAAAGAGAGCUUAAACAAACUUCAGAUGCGAAAACGGAAUAUUCAAAAAUAGAAAGGGAAAACAUCAAUCCCGCCAUCGCUGGCGAGGUUUUUUGAACAGAGCACUUCGAGCGUACGCUCUCCAGAGAGAAGCUAGCGAUCGAUUCGAUUCCGGCUCGUGUAUCGUCGAUCGAUCGAAUCGCUCGAACAAGUUGGAAUUCCAUGGGGGAUUGGGGCUUGGAGGAGGUAGAGAAAGCUCGGGUUGCUGAGCUUGGCUCUCAAGUUCAGCUUCGACGAGCAGUCUGCCGGCAAGUGCUUGGACCGUCUCGUUUCGCUCUACGGUAAAUCGAAUCAUUACUUCGAGUUAUGGAGCCCAUCUUUGAUGCUGAUUGGCGUGCCAAAGCUUCUGUAGGUAUUCAUCGUCCACCACGGUGAUGAUGGCCGUGGAAUAGUCUGCUCUAGUUUUGAAUAGAUCGGAGCUGGUUCAGCGAAGUGGUCUUGCUGACGAGCGAAAUGUCCGGCACGGUUCUAGUUUGAUGUUUUAAGGUUGCUUCGGAUGGUGGUUCUUGGUGAUUAGGGAAUGAUGUAAUUGCUUGUGUUGUGUGGAUAAUUCGUGAAUCGAUUGAUUGUACAUUCCUGAAUGAGGAGAUUUAUUGCAGUUAGUUGUCAUUCUGACGAUGGCUGUGGAAUGGUCUACCUUUUGGAUUUGGAUGGACUGGAGCUGGUUAAAUCUAGUUCAUUGAGCGUUAAUCCUGUCCCUACUUCUCUGUGAAAUGGUCUACCUUUUGGAUUUGAAUGGACCGGACUAGCAAAAUGUCUGACUUCUUUUCUGAACUAACUACGAAAUUACAUAUGGUGUCUCACCUUCAUGUAAAUAGGGUGUCUCACUGAACUAAGUGCAAAUUCGCAUAUUGUAGAUUGUGUUUAUUUGAUCUCUUAUUUGCCACGGAACUUACAAAAUCAUUUCUUUCUUCUUUUGGUUUUCUUAAGGUGACGAAGGUCGAGAGUUUAUCACUGUGGAGCACUGUGGUGAUGACUUCCUAGUAGAACUUGCUAAAACCAUGCGAGAUUCUAAGGAUUGGGAUGAUUUGCAAGCUACAGAAAUCAAAAACUUGUGGAGUUUUGACUGAUAUGUUUGGCCAAGAUAUCAGUAGUGACGGUGAAUGCAAUGGUAUACAAAAUGUCGAUGUUGUAGAAGAUUCCCCACAACCUAAGAAAAACCAAACUUUUCUUGAGGUGAAGAUUCCUCUACUGAUAGUGACGAUGAAGACAAUAUAUUUUCAGUAAAAUGGGCUGGAAAUCUACAUGCUAUGUUCGUAACUAAAGCGGUACUCCAAGCGAUUCUUUCAUUCAACUUCUGGCUAGAUGAUCUUUAGAAUCCAUGGUAUGCUUCAACCAUGGACAUAGCCAAUACAUGCCAAAUCACUUAAAUCACUGAGCCACUAUUAUGUUCUCAUAUAAUUUAUUCUCUGCUUGAUCAUUUGCAAUUUGCUUGCAAUUUUGCACACAGCAAAGGACCUACAUGAUGUACAUGUACAAAAGCAUUUAGUAAAUUGCUUAUGGGGCCUCUCAUCCAAUGAAAUGUCCAAUAGACAGUCAUAACUUUUGCCAAUUACUUCCACAAUCUUCAAGGUCCAAAAUGACAUAUUAGAACUCUUUGGUCAAUAGAGAAGUUGACUUUCGUUUUGGAUGAUGUACAAUUACCUACUUUCUCAAAAUACUUUGAGAGUAUAAUAGAUCAUCAAAGUGUGGAACUUAGCGAUCUGGCGUCUUUGAUAGGAAUGUUUUGCAUAAAUGAAGGCUUGUAAUUUAUUUGUGCACAUUUUUUCAUUUUCCAUGACAAUCCAUGUCAGAAACUAUUACGGUGCUGAAGAGGUUUAUUCCUGUUGAAGGACUGUAAGAGCACUAUCACUCAAGGUUCAAUAUCAGUUUCAAAUGAAAAUGGCCAAUGUUGUCAUAUUCGAAAAUAGGGCAUUUUGACCAAUGUGGGCAUCAGGCAUGUAAAGCUUAUGUAGCCAAGCAAUUGCUUCAUUCUCAUGCCCACUAGAGGUGGUAAAAGCUUAUGUUACUAGGUUAGUGAAUGUUAACAUCAUUUCAUUUGUAUAAUGAUCGAAUGUAGACGUAAGAGCACUGUCACUCAAGGUUCAAUAUCAGUUUCAAAUGAAAAUGGCAAAUGUUGUCAUAUUUGAAAAUAGGGCAUUUUGACCAAUGCGGGCAUCAGGCAUGUAAAGCUUCUGUAGCCAAGCAAUUGCUUCAUUCUCAUGCCCACUGGAGGUGGUAAAAGCUUAUGUUACUAGGUUAGUGAAUGUUAACAUUAUUUCAUUUGUAUAAUGAUCGAAUGUAGAUGUAUGUGUGGAGACAAUGUUUGGAGCACAAGCCCUGUGCACUUUGCUCAAUGGUUCCACUGAUUAAAUACUAGACGGAUAGACUUGUACAUUGAAAUUUAAGAUUUAAAAUGAUCUUGUAAUCUGCUUUGUUAGCACUGUUGCGAAGUUUGUGCUUAAACUUAAGUUUGAAAAUGUUUUCCAAAUGCAAAUUAAGCUAAAGGAAGUGAUUCAGGUAUAGAACCAUGGGUCCAAUGUACAAGAUCUGACUAGGUUGGAAAAGAAUAUUAUAUUGGACAUUCUUGUUCUACCUUCGCACAUUUCUAUCUAUUCUGUGAUUUCUAGAAUUUGAGGUUUGUGCUAUGCUUCUAGGACCUUCUAAUUACUUACUGAAAAAUUUAUCUUGUUUUGCAUGUAAGUGUUGUUGUCAGUCAUAGUUAAGGUCCAAGUCAAAAGGGUUAUUAAGUCAAAGAGGAAUAAGUUUUUAAAUUACUUGCACCAAAUACGGAUUUAGAUCUCUAUAUUUCCUGCAGGUAAGUGCUAUGUUAUCAUCUCAACUGGGGUGAUCAUGUAAGAUGGAUCUUGGUAGCAUGCAACAUAUCUGAUCUACUGAAUCAUGAAAGAAGAUAUUAAUAUGAAUUUAUUAGUUUGAGUUAUCCUGAAGUACUUUCUGUUGAGUCUUGAAGUAGAUGAUAUGUGUUUCUAGUUGAAGUAAAUAAAAGACAGAUAGUGACAGCUAGUGCUUUCUGAUCAGCCGAAGGUGAAUGAAAGGAUAAUUCCUUCAUCCCAUCCUCUCUUCAUGUGCUCUUUUGAUGUUUUUAUCCUUCAUUUCAGCUGCCAACUACUCUUAAACCAAGUGUCACAUUCAUUAUAUGUCCCAUGGUAUCUAUCAACCAGGAUAAAAUAAUUACCCUAACCCUCCAUAUGUUGCAAUGGAUGCACAUUUUUUUAUGUAUUUAAUGAAAAGAUUCAUGCCUAAGAUGUUUGCCUCAAAUAAAUUUUACGAUCUCAGUGUUCCUAGAGAAGUACAUCAUACCAUACAAUUAUCAUUUUGCCAUAAAAUGUUGGGCUAUAAUUGUUGCUGUGAGGUUUCUAUUGGACUUUUAAAACUUUUUUUUGCUGACUGUUGUGAUUAUCAAGUCAUUAAUACAUAAAAAAGGUGCCUUUUCAGGAAAGUUAAUCCAUCGUGCAAGCUAUUGUAUGUAACCCUUGAAAGGAUUGUAGGAAACCCAUCAUUUCUUUUUCACUUUUUGAUGCUCGGCUGCCGUGCAUUGCAGGCACAACUAGCUGGUUUUGUUGUUGAUAAGACACAUUAAGUGAGGUAUGUUCUUUGGCAUCCUUGCAUCUGAAGCAAAGUUAAUGCUAAAGUUACUUCAAAAGGAAUAUGUAUUUAUGAUGUUGCCACUGCAAAACUACUGUCCUUGUCCCAGAUAAAGAAGUUAACUUUUAUAUACGCUCACUCAAACUCUCUUUUUUGAACAUUUUUGCAUAUUAUGUAUUUCUAGCCUAAGUACAUUGUUGGUGUUACACUGAACCUUCUGAAACCCAGACCUUCUUUGACGAUCUAGUAUAACAGAUGCAAUGUUGAAAUAAGUAAUUUUGGAAAUGAUCUAGUUCCUUCUUGUGGGAAAAGUCAGUAGCACAUUGUUAAUCAAAUAAAGCAAAAUGCACACAACUAAAAUGAGCUCCAAUGGAUAUUACUUUCGGAAGUAAUUGGAAGUGUCCAUGUUUGGCUUGGUAGUCAGGUCUCUUAAGGUGGUUCUUGUGUCCCUAUUUAUUCUUUUAACCUUUUUGCUAUAUAAUAACAACGUGGUAUAUAAGGCAAAAGUUCGCCCAUUGGAUCAUUGGUUGUGUUUCUUAUGAGGUCUUUACUGGAUUUGUGCUGCCAGUGCCAUCUCAUGAAAGAAACAUAUUGCCGGUUUGAGCUUUUCUCGUAUAUUUGAAUGAUUGUAAAUGAGGAAUGCUUAUUCAUCAUUACUUUCUUUGUUGUCAUUAUUGCAGUCCAUGGGGACGUGAAUUUUGUCCAAAUUAUAGAGGACUGGAAUGUCUCAAGCAAAACUUUCCAUAUGUCCCAGCGAUGGCCUUAACUGCCAUUGCCACCUGUUCGUGAGGUAUGAAUUGCACAUUAACCUCGAAAUUUUGCUGAAAUAAUCAUUUGGGACUGAUUGAAAUCCUGAAAGCUCUCAGGAUCCCCCAUGCUCUUGUUCUUGAGACAGAUUUGACAGACCAAAUCUAAUGUCUGAGGUCACAGCUAAGACCAAAGAACCAAUGAAGCAGCUUGAAGAGCUGUUAAAGAAUCAUUUUGCUAAUUUUUGUGGCAUAGUAUUUUGCCUCUCAGAGAGUAAAUGUGUUGAUGUUACAAAAUUCUUGAAUGAUACGUGUGGUAUAAAGACGGUGUACUAUCAUGCUGGAUUACCAGCCCAUCAAAGAGUAGCUGUUCAAACGAAAUAACAUGCUGGAGAGGUCCAGGUUGUGUGUGCUACCGUUGUUUUUGGCAUGGAAUAGACAAACCUGAUGUUGUAGGUUGAAAUGGACUUUGUGCCUUUGUCUAUUUUUAGUUUUAGAAUCAAACUGACACGUUGGCAAAAUACUCAAUUGAUCCACUUUUCUUCAAAUGUUUAAGUAUCGCUAAUUGGUUUCUUAGUGUGCUUUGAAGUAAACUUUGCUAGUUGCAUGGUUCAGUGGCCUGCUAAAUUAUCAUUCUUGGCUAUUUUUCAAGCCAAAUUCUUUCUUCCAUGCAUGGAACUUUGGUGUGCUGAAAUUAAGUUAAACUAGGAUAAAGUUCUUUUCUUUACUGUAAAAGUGGCAAAUGACUCUGAUCUAACUUGACCUUCAGUUAUAAUGUUUUUGUCAUAUUUUAACUUUUUUUUUAAUUGGUUCGGUAAUUAUAUUUUAUGGCAUGUGGUCAGCAUUUUGUCAUCCACAACACAAUGUUGAAGUCAAUCGAAAGCUAUUACCAAGAAUCAGGGAUGCAGGAAGAGAUCUACCAGCAAUUUUUCCACUUAAUUUCUGGCCAAACGAUCUUUAGAAUCCAUGGUAUGCUUUAACCAUGGACAUAGUCAAUAUAUGCCAAACCACUUAAAUCGUUGUCACUGUUCUGUUCUCAUAUAAUUUAUUCUCUGCUUGAUCAUUUCCAAUUUGCUUGUGAUUUUGCACACAGCAAAGGACCUACACAAUGUACAUGUCCAAAAGCAUUUAGUAAAUUGCUUAUGGGGCUUCUCAUCCAAUCAAAUGUCCAAUAGACAGUCUUAACUUUUGCCAAUUUCUUCCACGCUCUUCAAGAUCCAAAAUGACAUACUAGAACUCCUUGGUCAAUAAAGCAGUUGACUUAAGCUUUGGAUGAUGUGCAAAUACCUAUAUUUCUCAAAUACUUUGAGAGUAUAGCAGAUCAUCAAAGUGUGGAUUAGCAAUCCAGCAUCUUUGAUAAGAAUGUUUUGCAUAAACGAAGGCUGGUGAUUUAUGUUGAGUGUUGUGACUGUCAAAUUAUUAAUCUCCACUUUUGCUUGGCCUGCCUUUUCAGAAAAGAUAAACCAUCGUGCAAGCUACUGUAUGUAACUGCUGAAAGGAUUGUGGGAAACCCAUCAUUUCUUGAGAUAUUGUAACGCUUGCUUAGAAAGGGAUUGUUUCUGAUGCACCAUAACUUUUUCUGAUAGGUUCUUUGUAAAUUUAUUAUAUUCGACCAUCAUGCAUUGCAGGCACAACUAGCUGGUUUUGUUAUUGAUGAGUUACAUUACGUGAGGUAUGUGUAAUAUUUGGCAUGCCUUGUACAUGAAGAAAGAUCAUGCUAGAGUUACUUCAAAAGGAAUAAUUAUUUGUGAUGUUGCCACUGGAAAACUAUUGUCCUUGUUCCUGAUAAACAUAAGCAAGUUAACUUUUAUAGAUGCUAACUUAAAACUCUUUUUCCAAACUUUUCUGCAUUUUCUGGGUUUCUAGCCUAAUUAAAUUGAUAAUGUUAAACUAGACCUUCCGAAGCCCAGAACCCUAUAAAGUUCUAAUAUAACCGAAUGCAGUGUUCCUUGUUUGAUGAAAAGAUUUAGGUUCCAUUAUUUGGGAACACUUAGUGGCACAUCGUAUAUUAUAUUGAGUAAAGAGGACACAACUUAAUAAAACUGCAAUGGAAAGUACUUCCUAGAGUAAUUGGAUCCAGCAUAAGCUUGGAUAAAGAUCCAAUCUCCUCUUUAUGUUUGGCAGGACACUCAAUCUCUUGAGUUGGUUCUUGUAUCCCUAUUUAUUCCAUUAACGCUUAUAGUUUAUGUUAACAACUUGAGAAAGGUAAAGGUUCAACCAUGUGAUCAUUGAUUGUGCUUCUUAAAAUGUCUUAACUGGAUUUGCUCUGCUAGUUUGAUCUAAUGAAAGGAACGUACUGCUGAUUUGAGCUUUUCUUGAGCAUUUGACUGAUUAACAUUGAAAGCUCAUAAUUGUCACUUUUGUGGUUGUCAUUAAUGUAGUCUAUGGGUACAGGAUUUUCAUCCAGAUUACGGACUGGCAUGUCUCAAGCCUAACUUUGCAUAUGACCCAGUGCUGGCCUUAGCUGAAACUACCACUCACUCAGUUCGUGAGGUACUAAACUUAUAUAUUAACUUCCUCAUCAUUAUGUUGAAAUAAUUUGUUCAUUCUGAUUGAAUUAUUCAUCCAUUGCAGGAUAUCCUAAAAUCUCUUGGGAUUCCCCAUGCUCUUGUUCUUGAGACAAGCUUUGACAGACUAAAUCUAAAAUAUGAGGUCAUAGCCAAGACCAAGGAACCACUGAAGCAGCUCGGAUAGCUGCUAAAGAAUUGUUUUGCUAAUUUGUGUGGCAUAGUAUAUUGCCUUUCAAAGAGUGAAUGCGUUGAUGUCGCAAAAUACUUGAAUAAGAAGUGAUGUAUAAAGACAGUGUACUAUCAUGUUAGAUUACUAGCCCGCUAAAGGGUAGCUGUUCAAAAGAAAUGGCAAACUGAAGAGGUCCAAAUUGUAUGUUAUAAAAAGAAAUGGCAUACUAUCAUUCUCGUGUUAUUGACUAGCUAUAUUAUAAAUUAUAUAAUCAAUACAUUGACUUUACUAGCAACUUUUCUCAUGUUAUAUAUAAUCAGUAGGCUCAAAAUUAGAUUAUUUCGUGUUUGAUAUAUUUAACUAAUGUUUUGACUUGUUAGUGCGGCCCGCAUUACGUAUGAUUUAGUGCUUGAAUAUGCAAACUUGGCUUAACAAGUUAGUUAAAGUUUUGGUAAACAACGACUAAAUUUGAAUAUAUGAUUAUCUUGUGAGUAGCUUUUAACUACUAAAGUUCCACUGUUGUAAUGUAGUAUGAUGAAGAGGAACAUUUGACAGUACUGGCCCCAAAGACAAUGGUUCAAUUGAAAGUUGAAUGCAUGACCAAUGACUAUAAUUUGGUGUAGUAGAGUCCAAGUACUAACCAAGUAGACGACCGGCUUGGUCCAAACCAAAUGGAUAUAAAUUUCGGGAAGAUUUAACAUUUUCUUUAUCAGUCAACUAUAGCCAACACCAAAGAAAAUUUGGUUUCAAGUAUGAUAAUGUAUGGCUGUGUCUACACUGCUUUAUAGGCUCAUGCUUAAAGGAAUCAAGUUUGAGAUUAUACUAUCAAAGUGAUUGCAAAAUGCCAAUACAUGAACUUCCUAAAAUCCAAGAGCUGAAUGUACACUAACGAACACUUUUAUUUUGCGCUCAAAAUUCUUUCCAGUGAGAAACUAUUGUCUUUGUGGAACUUUUUACUGAAAAUCUUGCCUGNNNNNNNNNNNNNNNNNNNNNNNNNNNNNNNNNNNNNNNNNNNNNNNNNNNNNNNNNNNNNNNNNNNNNNNNNNNNNNNNNNNNNNNNNNNNNNNNNNNNGAUUGCAGCUUGAUCUACGCGAGAAGGAUAGGAUUUACUAAUUAUCAAUAAAUGGUGAUAUUUGAGAUCGGAGCAUCACAAUUUACAUCAUGAAAGAUAAGGUACAAAUGCACAAACAUCAUUUGCACCAAUUGCAGUUGGACCGUAAUGAACAGAGACUUCAUGAGCUGGCCGAUGAAAACGUAAACAACAGGCUUGGAAGAAGUAACAAUUAGCAACACUUUCCUUGUUUGUGUUUAGGAACAUAAUUGAUAUCAAUAAAAAUAUGUUGAAAGGUGAAAUGCUUAAACUACAUAAUAGAAAGAUAAAUUUAUUAUUUGGUUAUUUUGCAAUAUCAUAUUAGCAAAAUUAGCAAAACAGGAUAGUUUGCUAGGAGGUGAAUUUUAACUUUACAAAGUCAACGUCGCAUGAGAACUGACCUUAUCAAAUUAAAAAAUUCAGAAACCUAUAUGACAACAUUCAAAGGAUAGUAUCACAUUGAUGAACUGAUAGAAAUGAAGGAGAUUGUCCUCAUGCAUACUUGCAUACUUUUUCAGGUGCAAUUCCAUAGCUCAUAUAGUAUGAGCAAACAAGUUAUUUUUCCAUUGUUAUGGUACGACUAGUAGUGCAUACCUCCCUCUGCAGAGCCCUAUCAAGUUCCGGAAUGAUAACAUUAGAAUGCAACAGCAUUAAACAAACAUUUCUGCAUCAGGGUGACAUACAAAAAAAUCAGCAGCUACGUAUUGGAUUAACAGAGAGGUCGAACAUCAUGAACAUACAAAAAAAGACUCAACUCAAAAUACAACAUCAAAAUCAUUCGAGUAUGUGCUGUCGAGACCAGAUAAAGUGUACUAGAUCCUCACAAGCAUAAAAAAUUCCCCAAGUAACAUAGAGAAUCUCAAGUGAAGACAAGUCACCGAUUUCACCUGGAAUUGCUCUUUCAGAUAACAGCAUGAUGGGAAGCUUAUAGUGCACCAAUUUUUCAACCUUCCUAUAGCACUAGGAAGCUUUUCAAUACCAAAACCACUAAUGUCUAGAUGUUGCAAAUUCUGUAAAUCUCAAGUUGAGCAAGUGAUAUCUGUGAGCGACUCUCAACAGCUGGCACUCAGUUUCUCCAGCUUCCUCAGAGAACCGAUAGACAUAGGAAUCUCAGUAAUAUCAGCAAAAUCUAAUAUAAGUUCUAAUUUGAUAGAUUCACCUCCUUUCAGUUCUAACUCACGUACCCAUCCGCUCUUGGUCCAGUCCGUUGCCACAUUCUUCUUCCAUGAUCCUAAAUCUCCUGUGAAUCCUAAGAUCACCACACUCUCCCCAAUUUCAACUUGGCGAUCCAGCCGAACGCUAAGAUGCACCUUCUCCCAUCCCAGCUAUGAUAUGAUCUUCUUUGCUUUCUUCUCCUCUUCUCUGCAAUGAACACAUUAUUUCAUAGCUUCUACCAAUAGCCUCCUUCUUUGUCUAAACAACUUAAACAACAAUUUUCACUUGAACCACCGAUUCAUUGUUUGUCAUUUAACUCCACAUUCAAAGAGAAACCUCAAAUCAAGACGGUGUCAAAUAAUCCGUGCUGCUAGCUUUUAUUGCAAGAAGAACUCGAAAGAAAAACAAAAUAACUCUUUUUUCCUCACCGAUUCUUGUUCAAGUAAUAAACCCCACAUAAACUCCAUCCAUACUAGAGACUCAGACAAACCUUUGAUCGAGAAUUCCAUAAAACAACUCAAUACUUCACUCCAAACCCCAGUGCUUGAUCAGACUGACAUAAGUGCGCUAGAACAAAUCCAGAGAGAGAGAGAGAGAGACCUGGUUGUAGUGGUGAAAACACCACGAACAACCAUGAAGGAGCGACUCUGAGCUGCAUGUGUCACGCCCCGAUCCUCGGGAUCGCAUCCAUCCCUCUACUUGGUCGAUUUAUUAAUGCGAUACCCCAGGACUAUGUAUCGCCGACCCUUUUAUUUUUAUUUGCACAUGCGGAAGCAGUUAUAAAUCCCCAGACAAUAGAACAAUGGGAUAGAAAAGCAGGCCAUAUUUUUCAUAUUGAAAUUCACAACCACACUUUUAUACACACGCACCUCAUAGUAUCUUACAAUACUAUUAACAUAGGUCUAAUCUAACACCUAUCCACAAGUACACAAGGUUCACAUAACGGGAUGGGAUCUCAGUCCUCAUCUGGGUCAUACUCGGGAUCAUCAUCCCGAUCCUCUUGAGACUCUUCUUCACUAAGUUCGUUUUCUUCAAGCUCUUCAUCCUCUGCUGGCUCGUCAUCAGGGUCAUCCAAUAGAUAAUCCUCCUCCGGUCCCUCUACGGACCUGAAAUGGUUAUUCAAUAACCAAUGAGAUCACGUCUCAGCGAGUUGUACCCCCUAAGACCCGAUUAGUAAACCAAUACGCCAUAUGGUUGCCUAAGCACAACACAAGUCAGAUGACUUACCUUGGCCUCAUUUCCAACCUACAAUUCAAGGUUAAACACAGAUGCUUCAUAUAUCACAUCAAACAUUCAAUCAAUUCACGACAACAGAUCAAAUCACAUAUCAAUCGACUUGGUCGAUUACAUGUCAUUCGAACCACCUCUAGGUCAUUCCCACUCAUACCAUAAUUUCCCAAUGGUGUAUUCAUUCACCAAAUCACAUAUGUUUCUCGGGCGUCGUUUUCGCCAAUGACAUACCGAUCACCGAUACCGUGCGUUCUUUAAGGCGCCGUUUUCACUAGUGAUAUCCUCGAUCACCGAACCACGUGUCCUUUCUAGGGCGCCGUUUUCGCCAAUGUGACAUCGGCUAUCGACAACAUCGUGAGUUUUUUAAGACGUCGUUUUCACCAGUGAUAUUUCCUUAAUCAACGUGUGUCUAUAAGUCAUUUACGUGCGUUUUUUAAGGCGUCGUUUUCGCUAGUGAUACUUCUAAUCACCGAACCACGUAUGUCCAAUAACAUCGUACCUGAUUGGUCUCAGCCAAUAAUGUUCUCAGUUAGCUCUCACCAUUCUCCCUACUAUAUAGCCCAUCAACGUACUGGCGCUAUAUACCCAUGCUCGGCCAUUACCAAUCAAAUAUUCAAUAACAAACAAUUUAGGACAAUUCCUCAAAUUUCACAAUUUAAAUCAAUUCCAUAAAAAUUGAAGCUCAAUUAAAUAAACGGACUGCACCACGACAAUCGACACGAAAUUCCGGUCAACGGCCAUCCCGGUUGAAUUUCCGGAAAAAUAAUUAAUUAAAUAAUUAAUUUCGAAAAUUAAAUAAAUUAAAUAUUAAAAAUCCAAUUUAGGCCCGUAUUGCCUGAUUGGAGCCCGAAACGGGUCGGGAAAAAUCCCGAGAUGCAUUCAAUAAAUACUAGAGCAUUUCUACUCCCUAAUGGCUAUAGCUAACCACCUAACAUGCAUCCUUAAGUCACUAAUUUAAUUGUUCUAACCUAAUCUAACCACAUAAUUGCACUUAAUUAAAUUUAACCAACCCUAAGCAUAAUUAGCAAACUAAGAAAGUAUUAGUGAGUAAAACUCACUUGGCAAAAGCGGAGACCGAAUCACCGCGACGGCGACGCGACGGUGGCCGAAAUCGGGCUUUCAACAACAUCGGCAGGCUUGGACCGGGCCUUGACCUUGGCCAAACAAAUCUCAGCCCAACUGAGAUUUGUUCUUGCUUUUGGGCUGGACCCAAGUUGGGUUGGGCCUGCUGAAAUUCUAGGCUGAUUUCACUUGAGCUUCAAAUUUGUGGGCUGGACUUCAAUUGAUUGCUGGAAACUGGGCCUCAAAAAGACUGGGCUGAGUUAUUAGAUCUCUGGGCCGAAUUUGGACUGAAAUGGGCUGCUGGACCAACAAAUUUCGCUGGGCUUGAAAUUCAAUGGGUUGAAGACACUUGCUGGACUUGAAGACUUCAACUGGGCUGUUGCAAAUUAUUGGGCUGAGCUGCUGCAAAGAAGAUGGGCCGAAGACACUGGAAUCUGCUGGCUUUGCUGGGCCCGAAGACUGAAUUCUGUUGGGCCAAGGAAAUGCGUGAACUGCAGGUGACGAUGGUGAGCUGGCGGAGAAGAAGUCGUGGACUGCUGCUUCGUUCGAUGUUGCCCGCGUGAGGAGGAAGCGCGGGUCAACAGAGGCGUUCGGCUGGUUCGCUUGUUGACCAAGAGGCGGUAGGCCGUGGACAUGUGGCACUGCAACAGGGGAAUUGGUGGCGUCGGUGGCGUUGAAGAUGCUGAAGACGCGCGGCCAAGAAGAGAAACGUGGACUUCGCUGGGGUCUUCAAGUCGCUGAAGUCCACGGACGUGCGGCUUCUUCAGUGGAAGGAGAUGUUGACCGAGAUGUGGGCGUGCUGGCGUGGAGCUGAGGAAUCGCACGAAGAAGUUGCUGGAAUUUACUCGAUGAAAGACUCAAGCUGGGACUGACCGAACAAGAUGAAGACUUCACUGGGUUCGGUCAAUCGGCUUUGCGAUUGACUGACGAAGACGUGUGGAGAAGCUGGCGGAGAAGGACGUGUGGCGUGCGGACGUGAGGAGCUACAACAACUGGUGAGGCUUCGCUCGGUGGUCAACAAAUUGGAAGAAAACCUGCUGCUGUUGACUGAAGCAGCCCAUGUAGUCGGCAGGUGGCAGCUCGGUAGAUCUCACGGCUUCACGGCAAGCUGUUUCGAUGGAAAGAGAUGCGGCGUGCGUUCGUGGAUGACCGAGAAGAGGCAGAUGGAUUCGAGGCAGCUGGAGUUGAAUGGCGUGUUGGCAGCGUGAGAGAAGGCAUGGCAGCAGCUUGCAGGGAACUUGGUGGCCGACCAAAGAUGGUGCAAGCGAUAUUGCUUUCUUCGGCUGGGUCUUCGAACGUGCGGCAGGGGAGAGAGAUUGGAUGGGGGCUGUUUCGUGUGAAAGAAAAAUGAAAGCAGAGGCAGGAACAACGAGCGGAUGGGGGAGAAGGCGUGCGUGAGAAGCCGGCUGUGGGGCACAAAGUCAAUUAAAAUAUCUAUCCUCUUCAAUGCUUUGUCCCCCCUUAAGCUUUCAUGUUUAUCCCUUAUGUCCCCUAAUUCUUUCUUACUUAGAUAAUGCCACAAUUUAUAUCACCAAUUAAUCCAAAUUGAUGCCAAAUUUCCAGCCCUUUGCCAAGCUCCUAUUUUCUCAAAUUAAACUUCAAUUUCCUCACCGAACCUCCAAAUCAGUCUAAUUUCAAUGAAGAUAAAUCCCAUAAAAUUUUAUGUGGGUCCCCGACACCCAAAUGCUUGGCUUGACAAUCCAAACUCACUUCAAUUCUGUCCACACUAAUUUCUGUUAAUUUUCCGCGACGUCUGAACUAUUUUCCGUAAAAAUUUCGGAAUCUCCGAAAAAUCUUUUGAGACUGACUCGACGUUCCUAGAAUUUAUUGUGAAAUGACAUAAUUUUCAAUUUCUGAAAUCGGACUCGAAUUGGCGGUUAAUUUCCAUUCGACGCGUGUUUAGCGUAACCUAGGUUACCGGGUAACUUUCAGAAAUUUUUAAGUGUAAAUGACUCGUGGUCGAUUUUCUUCGAGCCACUAUGAACCCACUCGACUCAUUAGCGACUCUCGAUUGUCGUGAAAAUCUCGAGGAUUCAAAUACGAACACAAAGUCCCAAAACAAUAGGAAAAUCAGUCUAGUGCCGGUCGACGGGAAUUUUCCAAUUUAGUGGUGUCACCCACGAUUAGCCACACAUCUUAGUCGAACCAGCCUAUCUCUGAUUUCGAAUCGAUUUUAUAUUGUGCCGUAUUGACCUCUAAAGAUGAACACGGUCGAAAAGCCGAUUCCUGAUCGAAUUCUCAAGUCUAUUUACCUUAAGAUCCUUAAUGGCUUCCUCAAGUAGUCUAGUUAUCUCAAGAGUGAUCAGCUUUGAGAACAGCCCUAUAAGCGCGUCAAUGAAAUGCCCGAUUUAUUCAAUAGAAAACAUGGUUGAAAAUCUGGAAUGUCACAGCAUGAGCUCCAUGCAUCCACAUAAGAGAAUCUCGAAGGAGAGAAGUAAUGCUGCUCUUCAAGAAAAAAACCGGUCUCUUUACUUGGUUUUAGGUAUGAAAAUGCACAUGGCUGUGUCUCUUCUGCUUUUAUAUUCAUGCUUAAAUAAAUCAAGUUUGAGGUUAUAUGACCAAAAUGAUUGGAAGAUGCCUACAUAUGAAUUUUCGAUGUAACCAGACCAAACUGAUGAUUUUAUAAUGCCAAUAUUUUGGGUUCAAAAUUCUUCCAAAUGAGAAACUACCGUCUUCUUGGAAACAUUUUCAUUGAAACUUUUGGCUGCAGUUGACAGAUUAUUUUUUGAUUCCACGGCAUUUGCUUUUUCCACAAAAAAAGUCUCUCCCGGUCAUAAAACUGUAGCUUGAAGUGGACACCUAAAUGGUAAUCUUGUUAACAAAUCUCAUUUUAUGCUUGACUUCACAUAUAAAACCACCUGCACAUGCAGUCUUCCUCCAAGCAAUUUGUGAUGCAGCCUUUGCUAAAGAAUAGCACGAUUUCAACCUUGUAAAGGACUAAUACACCACAUGAGAAGAGGUUGCCUUAUAUCAAGAACCUUUGAAGAGUAUUAACAACAUGGAGCAAAUGACAAACGCCAAUGGCGAAGAACUUCAAAAUGCCUUUCUAUAAUGACAUAGUUCAUUCUUGCCCUUAUCUAAACCCCGUGGUGUUUGGGGACUUCCUCCGAAUUUCAUCAAAUGCAGCUUUAAUCUGCACAAGGAAGAUAGCACCAAGUAAUUAUCAAUAAAUGAAGAUGUCCAAGAUCGUAGCAUAAUAAAUUACCUCAUGAGAGAUUAAGGUACAAAUGCAUAAACAUCGACAUCAAUCAGAGUUGGACCACAAUGAAAGGAGACUUCAUUAGUUGGCCGAUGAAAACGAAACACACAGGCUUAAAAGAAGUAAGCAAUUAGCAACACUUUCUCUGUUUGUGUUUAGGAACAGAAUUGAAAUUAAUAAAAUUAUGCUGAAAAGGUGAAGUGCCUAAAUUACAGAACAGAAAGAUGCAUUUCCUACUUGGUUAUUUUGCAAGAUCCAAUUAGCAAAAUUAGCAAUACUAGAUCGUUUGCAAAGAGGUCAAUUUCAACUUUACAAAUCCAAUGCCACAUACAUGAGAACUGAGCUUGUCAAACCUAUAUAAUAACAUUAAGAGGAUAUCAUCACACAAAUAAACUGAUAGAAAUGGAGGAGCCUAGCAAUGCAUACCUCCCUCUGCAUAGCAUCAUCAAUUCCAUAGUGAUAUCAUUAGACUGCAACUGCAUCGAACAACUCUGCAUCAGGGUAACAUACAAAAAAUCAUCAACUUAGUUUUUGAUUAAAGGAGAGCUAGAACCUAAUGAGCAUACAUAAAGCAUAUUUAAUUGAAAAAAAAAUACAUUUACAAUCAUUUAGGGAUGUGACAUUGAGAUCAGAUCAAGUGUUUUGGAUCUUCACGAGUAUCAAAACUUCCUUAGGACACUCCAGUCAGCCCCAAAGCCUCUUCAAGUUUGGCACGCAAGAUGAUCCUUAGCAGUUGCUGAUGCUUCCUCUGCAAAACCCCUUUUGUUUAUUUUGAUCAGUCUCAAGUAUGGAAUUUGAAGUUCCUCAGCCAAGUGAGCCACGCCCAAAUCAGUCAUGUAAUAAAGCAAUUCCAUGGCAACAAUAGGAUCAAACGGUAUGCAAACUAAUUAGCAAAUUCUUGAGCCUUGAGCUCCUCAUCCUAGCUUGUUUCAUGACGGGCAAAACAUUGUUCAUUAAUGCAAAAGUCAUCAAUACAAUUAAUCGAACUGAACUCCCAAAGUAAGCCUUGAUCAUUACACAGACCAACCAAACUUGUCAUGGAAGCAGCACCAAUUUACCUUGCUUGAUAAUAUUCAAAACAAUAGUUUGACUACUAGUAAUGUUAAGGUGGUGUACAUUGAUAUAUGACAGACUAGCCAGAACUACUUUAACAUUUUUUUUUUUAAUCACAAACCAAAAACACUUGAUAUGUUUUAUUUUAGCUCACUUCAUCAUACUUAAUGGGAAUUGAUGCUAUUCUUAGAAGGUUCAAGAGGGACAUCAAGGGAACAAUAAGAAAUUUGACAGGGUUUCUGUUCAUCGUGGAAAACCAAUAUGUUUGUCUCAAACAAGACAUCUGCCAUUAGUCAAAUUUCACACAAAAGAACUCACAAAGUAACUCAAAAUGGCCAAGGAUCUUUUCAAGAAAUAUUAAUUCUGGACAGGGAAAUUCUGGGUGUAGUUUAUAAUAUUGAGUAGCAGAAGUUCAUCAGCCUCGAUUUGAAAAUUUCAAAUCCUAGGUUUACUUAUGGAAGAACUGUUAAAUCACUGGGGAAUUCUUGUUUACCUUUGCUUGAUAUUUUCAUCCUUGCCUNNNNNNNNNNNNNNNNNNNNNNNNNNNNNNNNNNNNNNNNNNNNNNNNNNNNNNNNNNNNNNNNNNNNNNNNNNNNNNNNNNNNNNNNNNNNNNNNNNNNNNNNNNNNNNNNNNNNNNNNNNNNNNNNNNNNNNNNNNNNNNNNNNNNNNNNNNNNNNNNNNNNNNNNNNNNNNNNNNNNNNNNNNNNNNNNNNNNNNNNNNNNNNNNNNNNNNNNNNNNNNNNNNNNNCUUACUAUGCCUUCUAUUGACAUUUGGGUCUAUAUUUUGAUCUUGGCUUAAGCAUCAUGUAUGACCAACUCCCCCAUUCCUUCAAUUAUGACAGAAUCUUGUCAUGGAAAACCUUCUUGUCAAAAGAAGAUGGGGAUGAAAAGUAGGUCAUGAAUCUCAGAAGAAAAAUGAUUGUUAACUGCUUAUUUACCUCUAUUGGGGAAACAUCACUCCAAAAGUCAAAAGACAGCUCUCGCUCAUAAUUUCUAAAGACGCGCGUUUCGGUAUUGCUUCCAAUGAGUCACAACCAGAAAUAUCCAAAUCAAUUAAAUCCAACUUUUCAAGUCCCCAAAGCUGAGGAGGUUUCUUGCUGUCUCAAACUCUUAGAGAUCCUAACUUCUCACAUCCUAUCAAAUCUAGAAAGUCUCUAUUGAUUUGCAUCCUGUAAAAUCCAAGUCUUCUAAGAACUUCGCACCAUCAAGACCUUGAAUUUCGACUAUAUUGUCGCACCCAACAGCCACUAAUUUCUUCAGACACCGUGAUUCUGGAUAGAGAAGCCUUUUAAUGGAAUUGCAAUCAUAUAUAAUUAUGACCUCCAAGAAUGCCAAAUUAUCAUGCCCUGAAUUUCAACUAGGCUAUCGCAAUGCUCAGCGUGCAAUCAUUUCAGAUGAAUCAAUCGUGAAAGGUUCAAUCUUUCAAUGGAACUACACUUUUCUAUGGAAAAUCUCGACAGAAGGCAAGUCACCAAUUUCACUUUUCAGACAACAACACGACGAGAUAUGUAGAGUCUGCAGAUUUUUCAGCCUUCCAAUCGCAUUGGGAAGCUUUUCAAUCGCAGAAAAACUCAAAUGAAGAUGUUGCAAAUUUUGUAAAUCCCCAAUUGAGCUAGGGAUUUCUCUCAGAGACUCACAACCAUAAGCGCUCGAUUUCUUCAACUUCCUCAGAGAACCAAUAGACGUGUUCAUGGUCAUCAAGUGAGAAAAAAAAAUCCUUCCCAUCCGAGAAAGGGGAGAGGCCGAGAUAGAGAGAGAUUGAGGACACGGAUGGACACGUGGUCGCCGAGCAACCGAUCCCAUGGAGUUGGCCAGAGUCUAGAGAUCAUGACGAUUCAAACUCUUAACCAAAACCAGAUGUACGUAGCCAAAUCCCGGCCUCGCAUGCUCGAACACACUUCACCCCCGCACAGACUAGACAACGCGAAGGAGUUGGCGAUAAAAGCAUCGUGGUGGAAUGAUCCGGAGAAGAAGAGGAAGAGGAGGGUGGCCAGAUACAAGCUUUAUUCGGUCGAGGGCAAGUUCAAGGCUUCUUUCAAACAAGGGUUCCGAUGGUUGAAGCGCAAAUGCUCGACCUUCGCACGUCGAUUCUAAUUAGCAGAAAUUACGGAAUACCGUGUCAUCGUCAUCAAGAGAGAAAAACGGUGAGAAAGAGGAAACAGAGAGAUUUGCUGUGCUCUUUGGGUGUUCAUCUUUAUAUGUAUCUAAUGGUGAUCAAAUAUUCAGAAGGGUGCUGCUAAUGUUCAAUCUUUCAGAUAUAAUGUUCAUCUGACUCAUUGUUUCAUUCAUUGCUCUCCAGCAUUCAAAACAUAGGCAAAUGAGACGACUCGGACGUGAUAGUAAUAUAUAUUUGUAUUUGCCGAUUUUUCUUGUUCUUUUUUGAAUUUUCUUACCUUCUAAUACAUUUGUAACAGGAUUCUGCAUCCAUGCCCAUGCAAAGUAGAAUUGUCUGAUUUGUUCAAUUCUCUUAUUUUCUGUAAGCUCUUUUCCUAAUAAAUGUGAUGCUGAUUGCAAAUGAGAUGACUCGUACAUGUAGGAUUGACAUUACCAUCUAUUUUGUGGUCGAUUUUGUUGGGUACAAUUUUGUUUUGGCCAAAUGUUGUUUACGCCUUGUUUCUGGGGUUCUUUAACCCCCUAAUUUCCUCUAUUUGUCUAGUUUGAUUCCUCUUUGUUGUACGAUUCAUCAUAUGGCAACAUAUAUUGCUGAAGUAGAUAUUCUAAAAUGACAUGCGCCGGUGCUAAACAAAACAAAAGGCUUUCGAUGGUUCCAUUUUGAUUUGAGGAUAAUUUUCAUAUUUCGAAUGCCAUCCUAUUGAGACCAGAGUUACGAAAAUGUGGAAAAUUGAAAAGCCCAAAGGGAACCUUCUUUAAUUCUAUCAAAACUUGCGUAGUUAUUGUUGAAAUGGUCGUAAUUUCAAGGAUCUUGAUGUAUAAUGUGAUAGAACUUUCAAAAAAAUGGUCAAAGCAAAUCUCUUGCAUGAAAUCGAAGGAGGAGAAGAUGAAAACCCAUAGCAGAACCGAACUGGUUCACCAGGUUUAACACCUUCAUCCAGUUAUCCAGUCGAUUCACAGUUUUCAAAUUUUAAAUCAAUUCAGCCGAUAUGGUUGUGACUAAAAUUCUAAAAGUAGUCAAAACACGUAGCCAUUGCCCUUUGGAAUAAUGGCUUAGACACUGGUUAAGCAAUUUAGUAAAUAAACUGUAGACUCAAUACAUCGACUUUACUUGUGAUUUUUCUUGUGAAAUGUUCAAUCAGUAUUCCGAAAAUUUAAUUAUUUCACAUUAAGUAUGUUUAACAAGUAUUUCAACACGCCCCACACUAUAUUUGUGUUAGUAAUUAUAGAUUUGAACUUGGCUUAAAAAGCUACUUGGCCUUACAAGCUACUUGGCCUUGUAUUGAGCUCUGGAAAAAUUGAGUAUAAGUUCAAGUAGACAAGCAGGGAAUCAGACAGAGUACCUUGCCAGUAGCUUUCAGCCUUUCAAUUACUAAAAUUCCACCAUUGUCAUCUAGUACACGGGUUCAGGAAUAUCAAAGAGUGACCUCAAAGAAAUUGCUUCGAUUGAGGCUUCAAUGCGUGACUGGUUAACACAAUUUGGUGUAGUAGAGUCUGAUUAUUAACCAAUAAGAUGACCCUUUUAAAGUUUUUUGUUCAAACCAAAUGAGUAAAUUUUGGGAAUGGCCCUUUUCACCUUUCCAAAAAUUUCCCACAUUUUUCGAUAGUCUUCAAUCGUAGCCUACGCCAGAGAAAAAUAGGUUUCAGAUAUGAAAAUGUACAUGGAUGCGGCUCUUCUGCUUUUAGAUUUUUUUUUUUUGGUAAGUUCUUCUGCUUCUAGAUUCAUGCUUAAAUAAAUCAAGUUUGAGAUUAUACUAUCAAAACGAUUGCAAAAUGCCUACAUAUGAUUUUUCAAUGUAACCAGACUAGGAAGAUGAUUUUACAUUGACGAGCGCUUUAUUUCAUGUUCAAAAUUCUUUCAAAUGAGAAAACUAUUGUCUUCUAGGAAACAUUAUCAUUGAAACUCUUGCCUGCAAUUGACAAAUUAUUUGCUAAUUCCAUGGCAUUUGCUUUUUCCACGACAAGAAUCUCUCCGCCACAAAAUUAUAGCUUGAAGUGGACAUCUAACUGGUAAUCUUGUUAGCAAAUCUCACUUUAUGCUUAACCUGCAAAUGCAUUCUUCCAGCAAGCAAUUUGUGAUUCGGCCUUUGCUAAAGAAUAUCACGAUGUCAAAGCUCCCCAAGGCCUAAUGCACCAUAUGAGAAGAGGUCGCCUCACAUCCAGAAUCCUUUGAAGAGUACUAACAACACAAACGCCAAAAGGAAAGAACUUCGGGAUGACUUUUCAGAAUGACAAAGCUCAUUCCUACUCGCAUCUCCAUCCCAUGGUGUUUGGGGACUUUCUCUGAGUUAAAUGAAUUGCAGCUUGAAUCUACACAAGCCAAAUAGCACUGACUAUAAUCAUUGGUAAUGAAAAAAACCAAGAUACGUAGCAUCACAAUUUACCUCAUCAAAGAUAAGGUACAAAUGCAUAAACAUCAUUUCACCGGUUGGACCACAAUGAACAGACGCUUCAUUAGGUGGCUGAUGAAAUAGAAAAGAACAGACUUGGAGAAGUAAGCAAUUAGCAAUACUUUCCAUGUUUGUGUUUAGGAACAGAAUUGAUGCUAACAGAAUGAUGUUGAAAAGGUGUGAGUGCCUAAACUACAGAACAGAGAGAUGUAUUUGUUACUUUGGUAUUUCACAAUAUCCUAUUAGCAAAAUCAGCAAUAGCGGAUAGUUUGCAAGGAGGUCAAUUUCAACUUUACAAAUCCAAUGCCACAUCCACAUGAGAGGUGAGCCUAUCAAAUCAGAAACCUACAUGAGAAUAUUUACGAGAUAUUAUCACACUAAUAAACUUAUAGAAAUGAAGGAGAUUGUCAUCAUGCAUACUUGCGUACUAAUUUCUGGUGAAAUUACAUAGCUCAUAUAGUCUAAGCACACAAGUAAGUCUUUCAUGGUACAACUAAGUAAGUCUUUCAUGGUACAACUAGCACUGCAUACCUCUCCCUUCAGAGCCUCAGCGAGUUGAGGAGUGAUAUAUUUAGAAUGCAACUUUAUCAAACAACUCUGCGACAUGGUAACAUACAAAAAGUCAGCAGCUACGUGUUUGAUUAACAGAGAGAUAGAACCUAAUAAGCAUACAGAAAGCAUAGUUAAUUGAAAAAAAUACAUUUACAAUCGUUCAGGUACGUACUGUUGAGACAUGAUCAAGUGUUCGAAUAUUCACAAGCAUCAAAACUUCCUCAGGACACUCCAGUUGGCCCCAGAGUGUCUUCAAGGUUGGCACAGAAAAUGGUCCUCAGCUGUUGUUAUGGAAUUUGAAGUUCCUCAGCCAAGUUAGAACUAGUAAUCAUGUUAACAAAUCUCAUUUUAUGCUUCAAUUCACAUAUAGAACCACCAGCACAUGCAGUCUUCCUGAAAGUGAUUUGUCAUUCAGCCUUUGCCAAAGGAGAGGACAAUGCCAAAGGUUGCACAGGACUAAAACACCACAUGAGAAGAGGUUGCUUUAUAUCAAGAAUCCUUUGAAGAGUAUUAACAACACAAAGCACAUGAUAAACGCCAUUAGCAAGGAAUUUCAGGAUGCAUUUCCAUAAUGACAUAGCUCAUUCCUGCAAUGUUUUGGGACUUUCUCCGGGUUUCAUGGAAUGUAGCUUCAAUCUACACAAGGAAGAUAGCACUGACUAAUUAUCAAUAAAUGAAGAUACCCGAGAUCCUAGCAUCACAAUUUACACCAUGAGAGAUAAGGUAUAGUUGCGUAAACAUCAUUGACACCAAUUGCAGUUGGACGACAAUGAACAGAGACUUCAUUAGCUGGCCAAUGAAAAAGAAACCAACAGGCUCAAAAGAAGUAAGCAAUUAGCAAAACUUUCCCUAUUUGUGUUUAGGAACAUAAUUGAAGUUAAUAAAAUUAUGUUGAAAAGGUGAAGUGCCUAAACUAUAGAACAGAAAGAUGUAUUUGCUACUUGGUUAUUUUGCAAGAUCCAAUUAGCAAAAUCAGCAAUACAGGAUAGUUUGUGAGGAGGUCAAUUUCAACUUUACAAAUCCAAUGCCACAUACAUGAGAGCUGAGCCUAUCAAAUCAUAAACCUAUCUGAGAACAUUUAGAGGAUAGUAUCACACUAGUAAACUGACAGGAAUGAGGAAAUUGUCAUCAUGCAUACUUGUGUCCUAAUUUCAAGUGAAAUUCCACAGCUCAUAGAGUAUCAGCACACAAGUUAGUCUUUCAUGGUACUACUAGCAGUGCAUACCUCCCCCUUCAGAGCCUCGUCAAGUUCAGGAGUGAUAUCAUUAGUUAGCGACUGCAUCAAGCAACUCUGCAUCAGGGUAACAUAUAAAAAGUCAGAAGCUAUGUGUUUGAUUAAUGGAGAGGUAGAACCUAAUGAGCAUACAUAAAGCCCAUUUAAUUAAAAUAAGUACAUUUACAAUUGUUCAGCUAUGUGUUGUUGAGACAAGAUCAAAUGUUUGAACAUUCACACAAAUCAAACCUUCCUUUGGACACUCCAGUUGCCCUUAGAACAUCUUCAAGGUUGGCACACAAGAUGAUCCUCAGCUGUUGCUGAUGCUUCCUCCGCAAAAUCCCUUUUCUUCAUUUUGAUUGGUCUCAAGUAUGGAAUUUGAAGUUCCUCAGCCAAGCUAGCCACACCCAAAUCAGAUGAUAAAACAAUUCCACGGCAGCAAUAGGAUCAAAUGCGAUGCAAACCAAUUAGCAAAUUCUUGAGCCCCUCAUCCCAGCUUGUUUCACAAACCGGGCAAAAAUUGUCUAAUUAUGCAAAAGGUCAUCCACAUGGUUGACUGAAUUGAAGUCCCAAAGUAAGUCUUGAUCAUUGCAUAGACCAACCAAACCUGUCAUAGAAGCAGCACAAGUUUACCUUGCUUGAUAAUAUUUCAAAACAAUAGUAUGGCUAUUGGUAAUGUUAAGGGGGUCUACAUUCAUAUAUGACAGACUAGCCAAAACAACUUUCAACAUUUUCUUUGUCACCAAACAGAAACACUUGAACCUUGAAUUUUAUUUUAUCUCAGUUCAUCAUAUUCCAAGAAGCAAUGCUCUUCUUAGAAGGUUAAUGAGGGACAUCAAGAGAACAAUAAGAAACUUGACAGGGGUUUCGUUCAUCAUAGAAAAUCAAAAGGUGUUUGUCCCAAACGGGAUAUCUGCCAUUAGUCAAAUUUGACAUACAAAAGAACUUACAAAGGAACUCAAAAUGGCCAAAGAUUUUUUUCAAAGAAAAUAUGAACAUUGGACAUUGGGAAAUUCUGGGUGUAGUAUACAAUAACGAGUAGUAGAAGUUCAUCAGCCUCUAGAUGAAAAUCUCAAAUCCCAGGUUUUUCGAUAAGGAAAAUGUUAAUUACUUGGUAAUUCCUGUUUAUCUUUGUUGGUAUUUAUAUUCUUGCCUCACAAGCUGCUAUAUGUUUGCAGCCUACAGAAGCUGGCAAUGGAAGAAUAAACAAAAAACAUUGCUAUAACGUAAUCAACAGCAAUUAUAGAGAGGCAAAUCCGGAGUUUCCAAAAUCAAUCAAAUAGAUACCCAUUGUAGAGCGAAUCAUUCUAAAAGUUUCUCUUUUUGCUCAUGCCGGCAUUUCAAGGAUGAAGAAUCUUACUAUGUCUUCUAUUGGGUCUACAUUUUGAUCUUGGCUGAAACAUCACGUCAGCUUCUGGCCAACUCCCCCACUCCUUCAAUAAUGUAAGACUAGCAAUUUAGACCCUGUCAUGGAAAGCCUUCUUGUCAGAAGAAGAUGGAGAUGUAAAGUUGGUCAUGGAUCUCAGAAGAAAAAUGAUUGUUCAUUGUUGAUGUACCUUUGUUGAAGAAACAUUACUCCUCUCACUGUUGUAAUACGGGUGUAAGAUUUAUUACAUCAUUAUCACCACAAGAUAAUGUUUCCAAAGAGAACUAAAACAUAAACCAGGGACCUAGUUCAUAAUUUCUGUUGACGUGCAUUCCAGAUAAGUUAGGUAUUGCUUCUAAUGAGUCACAACCAGAAAUAUCCAAAUAAAUUAAAUUCAACAUUUCAAGUCCCCGAAGCUGAGCAAGUUUCUUGCAGUCUCGAACACUUAGAAAUCGUAAUUUCUCACAUCCCAUCAAAUUUGGCAAAGUCUCCAUUAAUUUGCAUCCUGUAAAAUCCAACACUUCUAAGGACUUCGCACCGUCAAGACCUUGAAUUUCAACUAGAUUGCGACACCUAGAAGCCUUGAAUUUCUUCAAACACUUGCAAAAAUUUAAAAAUAUGACCUCCAAAGACUUCAAAUUAUCACAGCCCUUAAUUUCAACUAGGCUAUCGCAAUGCUCAAUGCGUAAUCGUUUCAGAUGAAUAAAUCUUGAAAGGCCCAAUGUUUUAAUGGAAUUGCACUUUUUUAUUGAAAGCUCUUCCAAGUACGUGAGUCCGCUGAGCAAAAGUGAUGUCAGCUUAUCCCACUCCUUAAAACAGAGUUUCAAUGUUAUUGAGGAAAGCUUGCGGAUGUCUUCAGGUAAAUGGCAUACCUCAAGAUCGAGUCUUUCUAGGUGGAUAAGGCGAAGGAGCUGUGGCAGUCCAGGUCCAAGGCGCUGACAAGUAACCGACAGACAUGUUAAGCCCAAAGGAAUCUUUGGCAGCGAUUGGAGCUUGUAACAGCCCCUUAGGUCAAGGCUUUGGAGAGAAGAAGGAAGCUCUGGCAG